rnacentral:lncRNA from 1 species
AUCUUUGUAACUGGACUGGCAUUACUUGUAACUCUGCAGGUUCAGUCUCUAAGAUUAACCUUUUUGAGAAACAACUUAAUGGAAUGCUGUCCGAGUUUGGUUUCACUUCAUUUCCAAAUCUCAGCAAUCUCACCCUCACAUACAACUUCUUCUCGGGUCCCAUACCACCAGCCAUUGAGAAUUUAACCCAGCUUCGGUAUCUUGAUUUGAGCUAUAAUUAUCUGGAUGGUCCCAUUCCGUUCCAGGUUAGCCAUCUUCAGAGCUUGCUCAUCUUGAACCUGUCACAGAAUGCAUUGCAAGCUCCAAAUUGGUCCCAUUUCUCUCCCAUGCCUUUCUUGCGCAUCCUCAACCUCAGUUACAAUCCUCUUGCGUCGAAAUUCCCAAAUUUUAUAUCCAAUUCUCAUAGCCUGACUCACCUUAGCCUUAAUUUUAAUGAGUUUACUGGUGAUCUAGUACGUGAAUCAAUAUUUGCCAAUCUGCAUAAUCUUGAAGUCCUCAGUCUUCUUGGCAAUUUUUUUGAGGGGCCAUUUCCGCCAGAUAUAUUCAAGCUUUCCAAAUUAAAACAUCUUCACCUGUCAGGUAACAAAUUCUCAGGUUCAAUUCCAAAUGACAUAAGGUUGCUUUGUGGUCUUGAAAACCUAUUUUUAAGCAACAAUUCCUUUGAAGGACCGCUUCCACCAAAUAUAUUUAAGCUUUCAAAAUUAAAACAACUUGUUCUUUGGAGUAAUAAUUUUUCAGGUUCUAUUUCCAAUGAUAUAGGUUUGCUUUCUGAACUUGAAACCCUCAAUCUUCAAUUUAAUUUUUUUGAGGGGCCGCUUCCCCCACAUAUAUUUAGGCUCUCUAAGUUAACAGGUCUAGAACUCGGAGACAAUAGAAAUUUAUUUGAAGGAAGUAAUAUUCCUAUCGGACUGGGACUCUUGACUAACCUCAGGUACUUAGAUUUACAUUCCAGUAAUCUCAGUGGCUAUAUUCCAUCUGACAUUGGAAACCUGAAGCUACUAGUACUUCUUAGUCUCGGUUCUAAUCAAUUGACUGGACCGCUUUCAAAGAUCGUUUAUAAUCUCACAAAUCUUAUAUUUCUUGAUGUAAGUAAUAAUAGUCUUAGUGGAAAUAUUCAGAGUGACUUGUGGAAAUAUAACCAUCAUCCUACUUUGGAAUACAUCGAUUUUAGUGGGAACCAUUUUACAGGUAUAUUUUUUCUCUAUAGAUCUUUUCCUUUUGUCAUAUGUAACUAAGCUAGUAAUCUGAUUAUUGCAGUUUUACUGAAGUUUCAACAAUCUUGACAGGUGAGCUUCCAACAACAAUUUGCAAUGUCAUGUCCCUUUCGGUUCUUGAUUUGUCAAAUAAUGAAUUAAGUGGUGCACUUCCAAACUGUUUCGGGAAUCUUGCUGAUGGAUUGCUUUACAUUAAUCUUGCUAAUAAUCAGUUUCGAGGAACAAUACCAACUACUUUCUCCAGGAGUUGUCAGCUGACAUAUCUAAACAUGGAUAAUAAUGAGUUUGAAGGAUUGUUGCCCCCAUCUUUGGCGAACUGUAAGCACUUGAGAAUUCUUGAUAUUGGCAAUAAUAAAAUAGGUGGUACAUUUCCGUCAUGGCUUUAUGUACUUGGAGAGCUAGAAGUCCUUGUCUUGCGAUCAAAUAAACUCUAUGGUACAAUAAGUGGAAGGAGCAUAGAAGAUCCCUUCCCCAAGUUGCGGAUUGUGGAUCUGUCCAACAAUCAAUUCACAGGCCAUUUGCCAAUUCAAUACUUUAAGAAUAUGAAAUCAACUGAUAAUUUGUAUCGUUAUCAGAAUUCCACAGGAGUUUUUUCUUUCCAUUAUGAAGCAUCUGUCUCAUUAACUGUGAAGGGAACAGAGUAUGAAGUGAAAAAUAUCCUUCAUAUUUACACAGCCAUUGAUCUGUCCUGCAACAAGUUUCAAGGAGAAAUUCCUGACGUUAUUGGAGAGCUUAGAUGGCUUGCAUUGCUCAACUUAUCUCAUAAUAGUCUGACAGGACCUAUCCCAUCAUUACUGCGAAAUAUGAAAGGACUCCAAUCUUUAGAUUUGUCCUCAAAUCAACUGACAGGGGCUAUUCCACCUCAGAUAACUGCACUGACAUUUCUAGAAGUCUUAAACCUCUCGGGAAACCAUCUUAGUGGAGAGAUUCCUCAGAAAGGACAAUUCAGCACAUUCAACAAUGAUUCUUAUAUAGGAAACUCCGCAUUAUGUGGAUCACCAUUGACGAAGACAUGUGCAAACACAGCAUCACCUCCACAAGAAGUCGGAAAUGUUGAUGAAGAUGAUGCGGGUGAUGAAUUGACAUGGGAAGCAAUCUUGAUGGGAUAUGGAUGUGGACUGAUAUGUGGAUUGUCAUCUGCAUACAUUGUUCUCAAACUAGGAAAGCCUUGGUGGUUUGUGAGAUAUCUCGAAGUACUGCAACAGAAGUUGAUGAAAAGAUAUGCAUGAAGAAUGGUACUGGCCGAUCAAGACCAACUUGAAAGUUUGUUGUCCUUGUGCACAUUUCUGAACCAGUAGUGUACUUGCUGCAUAAGUAUUUGGUAUUAUGUAAUAAUCCGUUUGGUCGGGACUCAUAAUGAUUUCUCUUGCUUCAGGGGUAUUAAUAUUAACCUUGCUAUCUUGAUCAAUGUUAAAGCAAAUUAAAUGAAUGAAAAAACAAAAAGUAUGCAUCAAAUCCGCUCCUGCUGUACCAAAAUCCAUUAAAUUGCUUUGGUCUCUUACCUAACAAUUUAACAGCACACUUCCACACUGUUCAUACCUAAUUUGCGUGUAAUAUGAAAACUAAGAGGCAUGGCUUUUGUCUCUAUAAGUCUUUGAGAACUUAUUCUUCCAAGUCUUCUUCGGAGGCCUGCUGCCUCAACAACCUUUCAAAGAUGUAGCAGUUGCUCGAGAGUAACAUAUAUAUUAGAUAAAGACUAUGCAAUAAUCCACGUGACAGAAAAACCAAAGUCCAAUUAGUUUUCCAAGUUCAUAAAAAAUACUAUAGGAUCAUUAGCAUUACAUUAGUAUUCCACUAGCAUACAGCAUAUUAUAAGACAAAAGUAAGCGGAAAUAAACAUAAUUUCAAUAGAUUUAACUUACUCUUCAGAAUCGAUAAGUUUGGAACACGUUGAUUGAGCACAAGACGAAGGCCACACAUGCGCAUCAUCUGAUGCAGCUAUAUAUGGUGCCUUUACAGUUGCUCAUACAUAUAGUGAAACAAUAAGGAUCAACUCCUCCAUUGUACGUACACAUUUUCAUACAAGCUAUAAAGCAUGGUGAUAGAGUCUUUGCAAUCUCGUCAUGACCGGCACAUCCGAUUAUGAUAAACUCUAGCAGGAUCAUCCAAGUAAUAAUUUUCAUAAUGAUAUUAAUUAUCAUUGUGAAUAGUUGCAUUGAGUUAUAUAUGUGUGUGUAUAUAUAUGCAAUGGAUUUUGUGGUUGAGAAUAUCUAUUAGAUUUUGUAUAUCCAUAACAAUUAUUAAAAUUUAAACAAGAAUAUCUAUUAUUGGUUGUGGUUGACUAUUGUAGUAGUCCAAGAAAUCAAUGCAAGUGAAAUCUAUAUUAUAUUUUAAAAGAUUAUACAUGAAAUACAAAAGGUUUUUUUAGGACUGCUGUUAAAAAUUGUUAUGUUGUACGAAAAAAUGCUGAUAAAAAGAGUGUUAUACGAAAAAAUGCUGAUAAAAAAAAUGUCGUAUAAAUCAGAUAUGACAGCUUCCCACAAAAACUAAAAAAAACAGUUUUCCGUAAUAAUAUGGGAGAGGAAAAACUGUUUGUAGAUUUAUAGAACAAUUUUUCGGUAAAAAACUGUUGUUGUUUUCGAGAGUAAUGACAAACAGUGCCGAAAUCAUUUUGCAGGUAGUUAAUCUCACUUCCAUAUAAUAUACUCCUAUAUAUUACCGAAAAAACAUGAAAUGAUGCAAACCUCAUACUAUUGACAACAGCUAAACUCCUUGCAAUACUUUCAGCUGCAAAAUCCAUCAAAUUUUUUGAUUUAUCAUGUAACUGUUUGACAGAGUACUUCCAAGCCUAAGUAUCAAAAAUCACUACCUUACGAAAUAUAUCUCACCCUACCUUCUCUGCUUAACUGUUUCGAGUGCUUUUACCAAGCAUAUUUUCCAUUAAGCGUGAAAGGCACAGAAUAAUUAGGAUCACCGAAUAUCCCAUCAGUGCUGGGGAAUAUGGAACCAUCUUAUCAAUUAACUAGUUUAACAUUUCUUGCGGUCUUGAACCUCUCAGAAAACCAUCUUAUCCUAAUGUGCCGACUUCCUUUGACGGAGAAAUGGUGAUGCUGAUGCUAAUGAUAAUGAACUCAACUGGGGAGUGAUCCUUAUGGGAUACGGAUGUGGAUUGAUAUGCGGAUUUUCUUUGGGGUUUAUAUUUUGUGGUUUGUGAGAUACAUUGAAGUACUGCAGCUGGAGUUGAUCAUUAUAAAGAACAUAGGCAAGUUAAUCGCUUAUUGAAAUUAGUAAUUGUCAAAAGUAAAAUGUUGAAAUUACUUUUUUCGAUUGAAAUCAUUGAAAAAAAGUCUCUGUCGAAAUUGAUCUGCCAAAAUUAUGUUUAAUAUCUACGGCCAAGAUUAUCUGUCGAAUAUAUUUCCCGACAAUUUUAAAAGACAAAUUUUUCGCCUCUCAGCUGUGAGCGGGAACAGAUAUUUUCGACAGAAUUCCAUUGAAAUUAGCUAAUUUCAACAUAAAUUUUCUAUCGAAAUUACUUGAGUUCUUUGUAGCUUGUUUUCACAAAUACGCUGAUAGCCUUUGGGGACGGGUAUAUUGUUUUCACAAAGCCCUGGUGGUAUGUGAGAUGCUUCGAAGGACUGCAACUGAAGUCGAUAAGAACAUGCAGAAAGAAAACCGAUCCAUCUUGAUAAACUUGAAAAAUGUUGUCAUAUGGUGAUAUAUACUCCCUGGCCCCAGUCUCUUGGAAAGAACUUGGUUGAUUUUUUUUUUUCAGUAUUGUUGGAGCUGUCAUACUAGUGCUAGUGUGCCGACUAGCACUAGUAUGACAGCUCCAACAAGUAUCCAUCCCUAAUAAUUGCAGCAAAUUAAAAAAUAUAGCUAUAUCUUUUUAGCAAUGGUGCAAUUUGGAAAGCUUUCUCAUCAUCUUCUUCUUUUCUUUAUCUCAUUACUCUCAUCUAGUUCCACUGUCCUAUCUGCAACAAUUCGCGAAGGAGAAGCUCUUGUGGAAUGGAAGAACAGCCUAUCCCCGAAUUCAUUUCUUGGUUCUUGGUCACUAAUUAAUCUCACUUAUCUUUGUAAUUAAGUGGACUGGCAUUGUAUGCAACUCUGCAGGUUCAGUCAGUCAGAUUAAUCUUCAAGAACUCACACUUGCUAACCUCCGUUUCUUUUCGUUUCCAAAUCUCACCAAUCUCAACAUUACACAUAACAACUUCACUGGUCCAAUACCACCCGAGACUUUAGCUAUAGUAAUCUCAAUGGUACCCUUCCAUACCAGGUCAGCCAUCUUCAGAGGUCGGUCGUCUUAGGCCUCUAAUUUAAUCACUUGAAAGCUCUAAGCUUGUCCAAUUUUUCCCCCAUGCCUAUACUGGUUGGUCGCGGUCUUGGUGGUAAUAAGCUGGCGUCAAUUUUUCCAGAAUUCAUAUCUAAUUGCUAUAACAUGAUUAACCUUGAUCUUUCAUUUAACAUGUUAACUGGUGAUCCCUUCAACAACUUGCGAAUCUUGGAUCUCUUCGACAAUGAAUUCACUGGUUACUUGCCAAUCCAAUAUUUUAAUAAUAUGAAACCAGUUAAUACCGUGAUUGAUUAUUACAACAUAACAGUGAAUCAUGAUUAUCAAGCAUGUCUUGUUAACAUUUUGCACUCGUAUUAAUUGUCUUAUAUAUGACUAACUCAUCUUGCACUCGUAUUAAUUGUCUUAUAUAAUACUAAUAACAAAAAUAUGAGGCGGUGCUUAGUCAGAUGAUUUUAGUUGUUAAAAUAUUUUUGUGUUAUUUAUAGAUAGUGAAACAUGUCUAAUAUUUUAUCAAUUUUGUUUCGUUUCUUGAGAUUUCCAAAUAUUUAUUGGGACAUUGUACCAUGGUGUAUUUCACAUAUUCGCAAUUUUAAUUAUUUUGUAUUUUUAUUUUAAAGAUAUGAUAAAGUUUAUUUAUUUAUUUGUUUUUAUCUUAAAAGCGAUUUUCGAGUGUUGCUUAAACCUCGAAGAUUCCAAUCGAGUUUUAUUCUCGGAUCUGUUUCGGAAUUGAGCUUGGCCUUGAUUGUUUUCUGAAUAAAUCAGAUCUUUUGAAAUCAAAGGUUCGAUUGUGUUUUCCCGUCUCGCCUUUUGGCGUGUGUUGAUUUAGUACCCAAUUUUUGGGUGAUUCUGCGUUGUUAUAUUUGUGGUUGUUAUGUCUUUCUGUGUUAUCAAUGAGAAUGAUUGGGAUGGAGUUUUGGGAGAUUUGGCUUAUCGCAUCAUUACAUCUUUCGGCAUGUCUAUAGCUGGCUCCCGGCAUGUAGAUAGCUGGGGUAUGCUUGGAACGGUGGCGAUCGCAUGUGCUCACCUGUCACAAAUUAUAGUUGUUCAUUAUUCGAGGGCUCUUGUUCCUCGUUGCUUAGUUUUUACAACUGAGUCGUCUGAACACCGCAACAGCCAUGGAACUAUUGUGAAGGUCAAUUGUGAAGCUAUCAUUUUCGAGAUUGAUGUAGGCUGGAUUACUCGAGAAGCUUUUGUAUUCAUUUUCAGUUUCAAGAAUUCUUGAAUUCAGUGUGUUAAGCAGUCUGGAAACAAUGCGGCUAUUUGAUUAGCUCGUUUUAUUGUUUAUCAACCUGAUUGCAUUGUCAGUUGGGGAUUUGUCCCGAUUAAACUUGUUUUAAUAUAAUGGAAUGAAUUUGCAUUUUGUCAAAAAAAAAAAAAAAAAGCGAUUUUGAGUUGUUUGAGUUAGAUAUAUACUCCUACUGUGGUUCAACUAGUUUUGCCAUAAGUGAAUAACUUCCGGUCAAUAUUUUGAAAUUUGUCGUUAUCUUCUAAUUAAAAUAAAGGGUUAAAUAGCUACUUCAUCAUUAAUAUCGUUGAAAAUUUGCAGCUGAGUCAUGUUGUUGAAAAGACUUUCAAACUGCAUCAUUAAGUAAUUAAAAAAUUUCAAAAACACCACUCUCCGUCAGUUAUGUUAAACAAUUAACGGAAAGUUCGAAAAAAAAUAAAGAAAAGACAAAAAAACAUUAAAAAAAUUUGAAAAAAAAACCCGAAAAAAUGUGAAUAAACUAUGAUAUUUUUUUUCUUUUUUUGAAAAAUGUGAAUAAAAUCAAAAAAUCAAAAAAAAUGGGAAACCAAAAGUGGCAAGCUUUUUUUUUUUUUGUUCCUUUCAAAUUUUCUAAAAUCUGGGGAAAAAAGAACUUGCCAACUAAUUUUUUCCAAAUUUUUUCAAAUUCUUUUCAGAUUUUUGAAUUUUUUUCCAAUUUUUUCCUCACUUUUUUUCUGUUUUUUUUUGAAUUUAUUAAGAUUUUUUUUGUUUUUUCUGCUUAUUCUGAAUUUUUUAAGAUUUAUUCGCAUUUUUAAAAAAUAUUUUUGAAUUAUCCGUUAAGUAAUUAAUGGAACUGACGGAGAGUGAUGCUUUUGAAAGUUUUUAAUUACUUGAUAAUGCGUUUGAAAAUUUUUUCAACAACAUGACUCAGUUGCAAGUUUCCGGCGAGGUUAGUAAUGAAUUAGUUAUUUAACUCUUAAUAAAAAUCUAUCUAAACAAUAUUAUAAAUAUAAUGUUAUGGGUUCGAUGAGUCGUGUAAAACAUGGAAGAAGUUUAGGUGGGGUAAAAAGAGCCUAGCUGUGUGAUUUCCAUUCUGUUAUACGUGAUAUACUGUAGUUGAUCAUCUCCUUUGUCCGCUUCAUCCUGUGCAACCUUAACCUUUAAGGAAAAACUUAUGAGAUUCUCUAGUGCAUCUAAAUUCUUGUGUGAAGAAUGUGAAGAAAAAUGUUAGUCUCAGAUUAUUUUUCCUAAAAUGCUUGCAUGUUACAUUUUAUAUGUAUGUCCUGACUUUAAGUAUAAUUUAGCAUUUUUAUUUAGUAUUGUGUAAAAAUAAUAUAUUUUAUUCAGUCUUAUUAAAAAUAUAAUCAUGUUAUACUGUAAAAGUAUUUGUGAAUUUCUUUGUUACAUAUGUGUUUAAAUUAUUUUAUUUAUAUAUGUUUUACAAUUUUUUACAAAUAUAUAGGUUGAGUAUUGCAUAGGAAUAUAAUUACACGUUAGCAAAUAUGAUUAUGUGUAAACUGUUCUGCGUGCAUGUAUAUUGCUGCUAAGUUUUAAACUUCUUACUAACCGGAAUAAUUUUGACAGAUGUGUGGAACUUGAUUAAUUUAGUUGCACUAUAAGAGAAAGCGUUUUUGUCAAUAAAAAUUGUUAAGGAAAUUAGUCCGUUGGUAGUUCUCAACGGAUUUGUAACAAUUUGACUGGUCAAUGUUCUGUCAACCAAUUCGUAAUGAAAUACCCACACUUAUUUACAACGAGAUGUUCUAUUAGGAAAUAUAGCCACACAAUGGAAUAAUAACAAAAGACCAAGGAAUGAGCAACAGACUAGCAACGAAAGUAUCUGUUAUUACAUUCGUUGAUAUUCCCUUGAUAAAUACUAGACUUUUUAGCACUUUGGUGGCUUGUACUAUUUCAAAUUUGCACGUUAGUGGCCGACCUUUAAAAGUCAUCAAUUGUGUUGCUGAACUUAUUUUUUUUUAACACAUUAGGGGCUCCGCAUCAUAUCCGUUAAAUCGAAGUAACGGCGUCAAAUGAUCAAUACAUAUCUCCUCCUCCUCUUAUUUCCCUCCAAAUUAAAAAACGAAACGGCUACCCUCUUUUCCGAAGCAAGAACGACGACGAAUUCCUGCUUACAGAGAUGAGUUGGUUCCGGCGUCUUAAAGAGGAUGCUGAUGUGUAUUAGCCUCGACAGUGCCCCGAUUACUGUAGUAAGCUCUUCAACUUUUCUUCUUUGUAGCAUAUGAAAUGAGUUUAAUUGACCAUUAUUUCAGUGUUUGUUGUUGUUAGUGGCUAGUUGUUUAGUAUUAUGGACCUGCAAUUGCUUUAUACUAUUAAAAUGAAAGAUUCUGCUUGUGGGUUUUUAAAAAUUAAGGCUUUUACAUAGUCCAAGAUUCGGUCAUUAUAAAAUCAAUUUAUGCCUGUUUUAGUAUAGUGCUUGUUGUUAGUGGCUAUUUGUUAAGUAUAGUGUUGUUUAUUGUAAAUAAAACUGUUGCUUUGCACUCUACAUUUGCAGAACCUGGUGAUUUUACCCUAAAAAUAUAUCAUGGGGCCGAUUGGGUAGAUAACCCUAGGGCAUAUGUGGGAGGUACAGUAGAUUUCUUUGACUUCUGUAAUGCUGAUCAGAUCAGCAUAAUUGAGAUAUAUAGUAUGUUGAAAGAGGUUGAUGAGUUUGGGUUUCACCAACUGUGGUAUAAGCUACCUGGCACUACAUUCGAUAGAGCUUUUGUACUAAAUAAUGAUGAGGAGCUAAUGACCAUGUGUGAGCUUAUAUCUGAUGUGGAUAAGUAUAUGGAGAUUUAUGUCACCACUAUGGCACAUCUAAGUAUAGUGCCCUAUAGAGAUUUAGAGGUUGAAUUUGUUGAACCAACUCCUAAAGAAGCACCUGAAAAGAACAAUCCAUCACCUGAAAAGAUCAAUCCAGCACCUGAAAAGAUCAAUCCAGCACCUGCAAAGAUGUAUCCAGCACCUGCAAAGAGCAUUCCAACUGUGGGAAAUGAUGAUGAUCAGGAAGAGUUUGAGUUUGAUUUUGACAAUACACGGUUUUGGGAUACCACCCAAAAUGAAAUUGAAAUUGUGCAACAAGUUAGGGAAAUGGAGGGGUUGGAAGAGGAAUUUUCAGACACAGAUUCUGAUGAUGAGGAUUUUGUGCCAGAAGAAAAGGAAAGUAGUGAUGAGACCUUCCACUGUGAUAGUUCCAAUCAAGAUAAUUCUGAUGAUGAUUUGUUGUUUGAUGAUGAUUACUACCAUCCUUACCAGCAGAUGGAAACCAACAAAGAAAAAUAUACAACAACAACAACACAGCAAGAAUUUUCCAGUUCCUUGCUUGCUUCUGCGCCUCGGAUAGUUCUUCACUGUAGAAAUCCUUGUACUCAUCUUUGGCCUUAAUCAUUUCAGCAAAACAUUCAUCGUCCUUGUUCUUCAAACGCCUUAUCAGUCCAUUGAUUACACUCUUGCUGCGCGCAUCAAACUCGGGUUCAACCCACUUGAAGAAAUUGCACCUUCCAUUCACGCAAGUCAAGAAUCUUCUACCCGGAUUGUACUCCGUCCACGAUGUCUUCUCCACUGCCCAGCUUCCACACAUACAUUGUUGAUUCAUCUUUGCAGAGCUUUUUGGUUUGGAUGAGAGAUUUAGGUUUGAAUAUGCUCAAUUACACACAGCAGAAACGUAUAUAUAUACACAGCAUAUAGCCGUUGCAAAAAUAUUUUCCUGAAAUACCCCUGACGACCGUUACUUCGAUUUAAUGGAUAUGAUGCGGAGCCCCUAAUGUGUUAAAAAAAAAAUAAGUUCAGCAACACAAUUGAUGACUUUUAAAGGUCGGUCACUAACGUGCAAAUUUGAAAUAAUACAAGCCAUCAAAGUGCCAAAAAGUCUAAAUACUAACAGUUUCGUUAGUAAUUGAUUAUUAGUUUUACAUGGACAAUUGAUAUACACCACAUGAGCACAUACACGGAUACAAUGCCAGGCUCUUAGUUGAAAUGUGUGUACUGCUAAAGCUCAAGGAGAUUUAGUUGACUAAAUUGAUUUGAGUUGUAGAAAAAGGUUUAAUAAUAUAAUGGACUUUGAUAUAUGUAUUGUAGAUAUUAAGUAAUUCUCUUGAAUUUAUAUAUGUAACAUAAUUGUUAAUUGGCUCAUCCUUAACUAGAUAUUUUAUAUUACAUUCUUAACUACAGAUUUUGUAUUUAAAAUUUUUUUAAAAAAUUAACCUUUAUUUGGUAUGUGGAUUUUGUAGUCAAAUGUGGUCAAUUUACUUAGCCUUCGAUCGAAUACCUACCCAAAACAUAAAAAUAUUUUUUAAUCAUUUAUUUUCGACGAUCCAACUAUACGGAUAUUAUUGUAAUGUGAUAAUAUUGUUUACAAAUUUUUUUUAAAAAAAUUAGCCUUUUAUUUGGUAUGCGCAUUUUGUAGUCAAAUGCAAUUAAAUUACUUAGUCUUUAGUGGAAUCUUUACCCGAAACAUAAAACUUUUUUUUAAAAAAAAAUUUGGACAAUCCAACCGUACAGAUGUUAUUGUAACGUGUUAAUAUUGGUUAAAAUAAAUUUUGAGAAAAUAUGUCUUUUAUUUGGUGUGUGGAUUUUGUGGUCAAAUGCGGUCAAAUUACUUAGCAUUUAAUCGAAUACUUACCCAAAACAUGAAACUAUUUUUUUUAAAAAAUAAUUUCGGACGAUCCAACCGUACGGGGGUAUUGUAACACAAUAAUAUUGAUUAAUUUUUUUAUAGGAAAAUUAUAGCCUUUUAUUUGUUGUGUGGAUUUUGUUGUCAAAUGCAGUCAAAUUACUUAGCCUUUAAUGAAAUACUUACAUUAAACAUGAAUUUAUUUUUUUUUAAAAAUCAUUUGGAUGAUCCAAUCGUACGGAUGUUAUUAUGACAUGUUAAUUGAUUAAAAAAAUAUUUAAAAAAAAUGCCUUUUAUUUAGUAUGUGGAUUUUGUAGUAAAUGCUACUUAGCCUUUAAUCGAAUACUUACCCGAAACAUGAAACUAUUUUUCUAAAAAUCAUUUUGGACAAUCCAACCGUACGGAUGUUAUUGUAACAUGAUAAUAUUGAUUGUUUUUUUAUAUAAUAACCUUUUAUUUGGUGUGUGGAUUUUGUAGUAAAAUGCGGUCAAAUUACUUAGCUUUUAAUCGAAUACUUACCUGAAACAUGAAACUAUUUUUAAUAAAAUUAUUUUAGAUGAUCCAACCAUACAGAUGCUAUUGUAACGUGAUAAUUGAUUAUUUUUUAAAAAAAUUAGCCUUUAAUAUGGUGUAUGGAUUUUAUAGUAAAAUGAGGUCAAAUUACUUAGUCUUUAAUGGAAUAUUUAUUAGAAAUAUAUUUUAAAAAAUUAUUUUGGACGAUCCAAACUGUAUGAAUGUUAUUUUAACAUGUUAAUAUUGAUUAAAAUUGUUUUUAAAAAAAAAUUAGUUGUAUUUUAUGUGUGAAUUUUUAGUCAAAUACGAUAAAAUAUUUAUUUAGCUUGUAAUGAAAUAUUAAAACCCUACUUCAAAAGAAACUUGUCUAAAACUACCUAUAAGUGUUAGAGAAUCAUCGAUUUAGUUAUCAAAUUAGUUAUCAUAAGGGUUUUACUCCGCUUUUCUCUGGUAUGAUGUUGAUUUUUGGGGUUUGAUUGGUCGAUUUUCAUGUUUUAUAAGUUAUGUGAGUUCGAUUUUGAUGUUUUUACAAUUAGGUUUAUGUAUGUUCUUAUACAGGUUUCAUGUUCAUGUUUUGAUUUGUUGAUUUCCUAUUUUUCAUAUUUUGUUGAUUAGUUAUUUGUGUGGGUUUUGAACUUUGAUGAGUGUGUAUGUAAUCUCCUGUUUUUUUUUUUCAUUUUUCUGGUUCGAACACUUCGAUUAGUAGCUGGAAAAACAGCUGAUGCGGCAGUAGCGGCUAGUGAGAUGGAUAACAAGAAAAGGAUGAUUUCGAGGUCAUCUCGUGCAAGUCUUCAGAUAUAGUUUUGUUCCUUUAUGUUUUUAAUUGACAUAAAUUUUCACAUUUGAUGAUUAUAUUAUGGGGGAUUCUGGGUAUACUUGUAUAUAAUCUAGCAAGUUAUUAUAAUUCUGGACGGGGGGCUUAUUGUGAAAUUAAAUUGAGGGAUAAGUUGUGUUAUUGGUUCUAGUGGAUUAAAUUUAUGUUGACACUUGAUAUAUGCAUUGAUGUCGUAAAAUAAGUUGCACAUCAAACUAUUUGGCUUGUUUAAGUUGUAUGGAGUAAGGCUGUACGCGGAUCGGAUCGGUUCGGUUGGAGGGUAAUAACCAAACCAAACCGCAACUUACGGUUUUCUAAAAUCUCAAACCGCGACCAUACUGUUGGUUAAAAAAACCCAACCAAAUCCAUCCACGUAAUUGCGGUUGGUUGCGGUUCAACUGCUAAAAUAGUUAUAACAAAGAAAAUAUAUAAGUUAUUGCUUAAAAUCUUGCAUAAAGUACAGACUUUAACUCAAAAAUAUAUAAUUUAUCACUUAAAAUCUUGAAUAAAGUUAAUACAAUAAAUCUGAUUACAUAUUACAAAAGCAAACUACUCCGGAAAUAUAUAACUUGAAGCAGAGCUUCAAGUUAAUGGUUAUUAAAAAUUUCAUCCGCGACUGCCCACAUUUUACGGUUAUCCAUAAUACACGGAUCGGUUGCAGGUGGUUGUUGCGGUUAAUGCGGUGGAGCGGAUUGAACGUACAGCCCUAUGAAGUAUGGUUGCCAAGCAUUGGUUGGUUGUACACGUGUAAACAAAAUGAUAUUUUAAUAUUUAAACAAAACAAUACAGUCAUAAACAGAUCGUGUCGGGCUGGACUGAUUGUGAUUUUCCUUUUUGGAACUCGUACUCGGCAUCUUCCAAGCGAAUGAUAUUUAGAAGUUUGUUGCUAGUAUACUCCAUGUCAUAAUAAGAGUUCUUUAGAUUUUUUAUAUGUAAUUCGAAGUAUAAAAAACAUAUUUUAACAUAUUAUUUUUAAAUUUUUUAUACAUAAAAAUAUAACAUCUAUAUUUUUAUUUAGAAAAAAAUUUGAAAUAUAAUAUAUAGAUGCAUGUCUUUUUUAUACGUGAAAUUACAUGUAAAAAAUUAAAAGACUCUUAUUUUGAGUAAGAGAGAAUAUGAUGUACCAUAAAGUCAUCGAUCUUUUGUUAUCAAAUAAAUGUGAUAUUUAAUUAUUUAAGAGCAAGUCCAAAAGUAUCUUAGUUAAAGUCCUAAAUAUAAUAUAAAAUAUUACGUUCUGGUGAUUUAGGAUAUAUUUUACUAACUUGGACUCCAACAAUGUGUCUUAUUCUCAUAAGAAGUUUAAUAUUUUAUUAUUAAAGACUCUCUUUCAUCAUUAAAGCAUAAUAUAAAAGUAGAGAGAGAAAAAGAGUGUUGAUAAGAAUUAAUAAUAAAAUAUGGGAUAGGGUUAGGAGAGAUGUGCCUCAAAAAUAGGGUUUGAGGAGUUUCAUUAGGUGUGGACACGGAGACCAAGAAGUAAAAGAUGAGUACAGUUAAAUGAAGAUGUGGUAAAAUAAUGUGACCCAUUUAUAUUUAAUAAUACAUUUGAAAUAGUGGAGGAAAGUAACGAGUGUAAUAACGUUUAUAUUAUUAUAGCAUAUAGAUAGCAGAAGAAAGCAAUGGGUAUAAAAGUGUAUUAUAUUAUUAAAGUUUUGAAAUGUUUAGAAAUAAUGGGGCAAUCAAAAAGAAAACUGUAUAAAAAUGGACGAGAGAAUACAAUUCAAGAAGUAAUAUAUCUCAAUUCAAACUAGGUAAUAUAUUUAUGAAUUAUAUUAAAAAAAAUUUGACAUUCAAAUAUAAAAAUUUAUUUUAUCAUCUUAACAAUGGAAUAUUCGAUUAUUAACUUUCGUAAAUAACAUUAAUUUUUCAUUAUAAUAUACUCUAAACUUUUAUUUUAUGUGCCUGUUUGUUUACAAGAAGCUGGAGUCCUACUUCUCUUGACUCGUUUGUGUAAAAACGUAAAAAGUGCUUUUAAAAAGUACUGAGAAGGAAAUGGAAGUAGAAAAUGCUAGUUUUUCUUUAUAAUAUCUAUUUCUUUUCUAGACACUUUAAUAAUUUAUAUAUAUUAAUUUAUUUCUCACUUAUACUCCAUUUUUUUAUAGAGAACUUCUUUUAAACUAAUCGGCUCCUAUAAUCAGUAGUUUCUCAAUUUUAAUAGGAAUAAGAGCAUGUUUAUCUGAGCUUAAAGCCCGGGGUUUAUAUCAUCUCUGGCUUUAAGCUGAAAAAUGUAUGUUUGUGUAUUAAGUCGGAAGUCGGCUUAAAGUCGGAAAUAAGUCAAAAAUUGACCUAAAACCAGAAGUUAGUUUGAGAUACUUUUCUCGGUGACUAAUUUUUUUUUUAGCCAUUUUUUGAUAAAAAUUAUUCCUAAAUCACAAAUUACUCAUAAAUUACUUUUAUUAUUAUUAUUAUUAUAUUUUUAAUAACUUAUAAAUUAUUAAUAAAUCAAAAUUAAUCAAACAAAUAUUUUAAGUUCUCAUAUUAUGAGAUAACUAACGUUAAGUCAUGAAUCAACUGAACGGGAUGUAAGUCUUCUUCUCCCCGAGUCAUCAGCAGACUUUUUCCAUGUCUUCUGAGCCCCCAUUGGCUCACAAUUGGCCCAAAAAAUAUUUGGUUAUGCAUUGCUAUUCACACACUUAGACAUCAAAAUUUAUCAUCCGACAGGCGACAGCUAACUGCACACUAUUUUUCCCACAAGCUGAAAAAUCAACGAUCAAUUAAUUUUUCUUAUCAAUUAAUAAAGUUAUGAUUUCACGUACACGGCAGGCAAAAUGCUAAUAAAUAGACGAGUGCAGUAUAGUAUGGGUUCAUGAUCACCUUGAGAUUUAAUUGAAAAAUAUUAUGGUGAUAUAGAUUAAAUUAAAUUAUAAUAUCUUGAAAAGUUAUAAAUAAUUUUAAUUACUAAUAAUAUUUAUUUGUACAUUUAAAUAUUUUUAUAAAAACACAAAAAUAGCAUUAUACUCAUUUAAGUUUCUCGUAUCCGCCUCUCUUCUUGGAGAUUGUGGAUUUGCGAUAUUUAUAUUGAUUAUUAUAGGAAAAUGUUAUUUCCAGAGCAAACAUUUUUAUUUCCGGAGCAAAUUCAAACAAAUUUUUCCAAAUUGUUCUGGAAAUUAAAAUAUUGAUAUGGAUAUAACAAUUCCCUUAUUAUAUCCUAUGUAUAUUACAUUAAUGCAAUUAACAUGGUUGAUUGUUUUAGUAUAUAAUCAUAUUACUGUGACCUUUUAGUAUAUAAUUAUAUUAUUUUUGUUAUAUUUUAUGCAUCUAGAAACAAUUUUUUUAUGAUAUUUAUUAUAUUAAUUAUAGUAAAAGAUAUAAUUUUGUUUAAAAAAUUGAAUAAAACUAAGAGGGAUAGCCUACGUCUCUCCGAGUCUUCGAGGACUCAUUCCAAGUCCGAGAGGACCACAGCCUCAACCUUUAAGAGAUGUGAAAGUAGCUUGAGAGUGAUAUAAAUUUAUUUUUGACAAUAAAAUUUAAUAAUCAAAUAAAUUAAAUUAAAUUAAACUAGUUUAUAAUCGAUUAAAAAUAUAUAAAUCAAAAUUAUUCCCGAAUUAUGAUAACAAUUAAAAUCAUUUUAAAAGUUGCAUAAAUCAAAUCCAAAUCGAACAAAUUCCCCUAACACUAAAAUGUAGUUGCUUUAUUGUAGAUAAAAACAGUAUAAUAAUAGUAUUGAUGAAAAAUCAAAUUCAUCAAAUAAGUUUAUAAAAAAUACAUGAUUUUAAUUUUAAAAAAAAAACAUGAUUUUAGUGUGUUGUAUUAGUAGUGUGUCCACGCAUUUAUAUAUUAAAAUCUAUCCUCUAAAAACUAUCGAUCUAUUUACACAACUAUUGAUCUGUCGUGCAACAAAUUCCAGGGCGAAGUUCCAAAGAGAGCUUAAAUGGCUUGCAUUGCUCAAUCUAUCUCAUAAUAGUCUUAACGACAUAUGUUCUGAAUUAUUAUUAUGAUUUCAACAAUAUUUUCAAACAUUUCUUAAUAUGUAUUUUCAAAGAAUUCUCAAGCACUUGAACAUUUGGACCGGUUCUUUCGAAGCCAGGCAAUGCACAAAAAUGUCCAAAAAUGAAUAAAUUAAGAGAGAGUAGCUCACCCUUUCAAAGCCUUCCAGGACUCAUUCCAAGUCUUCGGAGGACCACUGCCUCCCCCUUUCAAAGAUGUGAUAGUAGCUCGAGAGUGAUAUAAAUUAUUUUCCCGACAUUAAAAAUAAAAAAUCAGAUUAAAUUAAUCAAUAAUAACUUAAGGAUGAAAUCCAAAUUAAUCCUAAAUUUUGAUAAUAUAUAAAAAUUAUAAUUAUAAAUUAUAUAACCAAAUCAGAAUUGAAUUAACUUACUUGGCACUAGAAUUGCUAAAGACAGUAUAAUAAUUUAAUUGAUGAAAAGUCAAAGUCUUCUAAUAAAUCCAUAAAGAAUAUGAUAAUAUGAAAAUUAUAAUUGAAAAAUCAAAAUCAAUAGUGUAUUGGAAUAGUGUUCACACACUUAUAUAUCAAAAUUUGUGGUCCAAAAACUAUAGCACAAUAUCCUAAAUACAUCACAUUAAAUAAUAGCACAAAAAUAUUCAAUAAAUAAUUGAUUUCAUUCAUAAAUUUGUUAUUUUAAAAACUAAUAAUUUGGUUGAUGUUAACCUAUAUUUUAUAUAUAAUUUCGUCUUAUUUUAUUUUACUAGAAACAAUAUUUUUAUAAUAUUUAUUACAUUAAAUAUAUUAAAAGAUAUAAUUUUAUUAAAAAAAUUGAAUAAAAUUAAAAGGAUAAGUCUCGGCCUCUCCAAGUCUACAAGACUCAUUUCAAGUCCACCGAGGGCCUCAACCAUUGAGAGAUGUGAAAGUAGCUUGAGAGUGAUAUAAAUUAAUUAAAUUAGUUAAUAAUGAAUCAAGACUAAUCAUGAAUUAUGAUAAUAAUUAAAUAAAUUAUAAAAUUAAAUUAUACAAAUAACACUAAACCUUAGUUACUUUAUUGGUAAAUAAAUAUAAUAUAAUAAUCAAAUUGAUGAAAAAUCAAAAUCAUUUAAUAAAUUCACAAAAAAUAUAUGAUCAUUAGUAUGUUAUAUUAGUAUCCACACACUUAUAUUUCAAAAUCUAUCCUCCAAACUUAUCAUCUCUGUAAACUAGCCACAUAAAAUAAAAAUUUAAAGAUAUUAGAUAUUUAGUUAUUUUCAUUAUAUAAUUUUUCCACACGAAAUAACAAAAUAUCUUUAUCAAAUUAUUAUUUAUGAGUUAAAUAUUCAAUUUAUAAAUCCAGUAUGCAGCGUAUAAAUAGAAGUGUGCAGUAUGAUAUCAGAUUCACAUAACCCAGUUGAUGAGGAGAAACAUGGCAUACUCUGCAAAGCCUUCUCACCUUCUUCUCUUUGUUUUCUUUCUCUCAUCACUUGAAUCCAUUCUUGCAACAACACGAGAGGGAGAAGCUCUUGUGAAGUGGAAGAAUAGCCUAGCCCCUUCUUCUUUUCUCGACUCUUGGUCACUCACCAAUCUCGAUAAUCUUUGUAACUGGACUGGCAUUACUUGUAACUCUGCAGGUUCAGUCUCUGAGAUUAACCUUAGUGAGAAACAACUUGAUGGAAUGCUGUCCGAGUUUGGUUUCACUUCAUUUCCAAAUCUCAACAAUCUCACCCUCGCAUACAACUUCUUCUCGGGUCCAAUACCGCCAGCCAUUGAGAAUUUAACACAGCUUCAAUACCUUGAUUUAAGCUUUAAUUAUCUCGAUGGUCCCAUUCCGUUCCAGGUUAGCCAUCUUCAGAGGUUGCUCAUCUUAAACCUGUCACAGAAUGCAUUGCAAGCUCCAAAUUGGUCCCAUUUCUCUCCCAUGCCUUUCUUGCGCAUCCUCGACCUUAAUAGCAAUCAUCUUGCGUCGAACUUCCCAGAAUUUAUAUCCAAUUCUCAUAGCUUGGCUAUCCUUGACCUUGGAUAUAACAACUUUACAGGUGACCUUGUGCGUGAAUUUACUAAUCUACAAAAUCUUGAAACCCUCUACCUAGAUGAAAAUUCUUUUGAGGGGCCAUUUCCGCCGGAUGUAUUCAGGCUUUCCAAAUUAAAACAUCUUCGCCUGUCAGGUAACAAAUUCUCAGGUUCAAUUCCCAAUGACAUAAGGUUGCUUUGUGAUCUUGAAUCCCUAUAUUUAAGCAACAAUUCCUUUAAAGGACCCCUUCCAUCAAAUAUAUUCAAGCUUUCAAAAAUAAAACAUCUUGUUCUUUGGAGUAAUAAGUUUUCUGGUUCUGUUUCCAAUGAUAUAGGUUUACUUUCUGAGCUUGAAACCCUCGAUCUUAACUCUAAUUUUUUUGAGGGGCCGCUUCCGUCAAAUAUAUUCAAGCUCUCCAAACUAAGGUAUCUUUCCCUUUGGGGUAAUAACGUUUCAGGUUCUAUUUCCAAUGAUAUAGGUUUGCUUUCUGAGCUUGAAACCCUCGAUCUUAACUCUAAUAUUUUUGUGGGGCCGCUUCCGCCAAAUUUAUUCAAGCUCUCCAAACUAAAGAUUCUUUCCCUUUAUAAAAAUAACUUUUCAGGUUUUAUUUCUAAGGAUAUAGGUUUGCUUUUUGAACUUGAAACCCUCUAUCUUGGCUCUAAUUUUUUUGAGGGGCCGCUUCCCCCACAUGUAUUUAGGCUCUCCAAAUUAAGAGAUUUGGGUCUCAGAGACAAUAGAAAUUUAUUUCAAGGAAGUAUUCCUAUUGGACUGGGACUCUUGACUAAUCUCAGGUACUUGAGUCUAUUUUCCAAUGAUCUCAGUGGCUAUAUUCCAUCUGAGAUUGGAAACCUGAAGCUACUAAAAGUUCUUGAACUCGGUUCUAAUCAAUUGACAGGACCGCUUUUAAAGAUAGUUUCUAAUCUCAAAAAUCUUAUAUAUCUUGGUGUAAGUGGUAAUAGUCUUAGUGGAAAUAUUCAGAGUGACUUGUGGAAAUAUAACGAUCAUCCAACUUUGGAAUACAUCAAUUUAAGUGGGAACCAUUUUACGGGUAUAGUUUCUCUCUAUAGAUCUUUGUCAUAUGUAACUAAGCUAGUAAUCUGAUUAUUGCCUUUUCACCAAAGUUUCAACAAUCUUGACAGGUGAGCUUCCAACAACAAUUUGCAAUGUCACAUCCCUUUUGCUUCUUGAUUUGUCAAAUAAUGAAUUAAGUGGUGCACUUCCAAACUGUUUCGGAAAUCUUGCUGAUAGAUUGCUUUACGUUAAUCUUGCUAAUAAUCAGUUUCGAGGAACAAUACCAACUACUUUCUCCAGGAGUUGUCAGCUGAAAUAUCUAAACAUGGAUAAUAAUGAGUUUGAAGGAUUGUUGCCCCCGUCUUUGGAAAACUGUAAGCACUUGAGAAUUCUUGAUAUUGGCAAUAAUAAAAUAGGUGGUACAUUUCCGUCAUGGCUUUAUGUACUUGGAGAGCUAGAAGUCCUUGUCUUGCAAUCAAAUAAACUCUAUGGUACAAUAAGUGGAAGGAGCAUAGAAGAUCCCUUCCGCAAGUUGCGGAUUGUGGAUCUGUCCAACAACCACUUCACAGGCCAUUUGCCAAUUCAAUACUUUAAGAAUAUGAAAUCAACUGAUAAUUUGUAUAGUUAUCAGCUUUCCACAGCAGUUUUUUCUUUCCAUUAUGAAGCAGCAGUCUCAUUAAUUGUGAAGGGAACAGAGUAUGAAGUAGCAAAUAACCUUCAUAUUUACACAGCCAUUGAUCUGUCGUGCAACAAAUUUCAGGGAGAAAUUCCAAAGGUUACUGGAGAGCUUAAAUGGCUGGCAUUGCUCAACUUAUCUCAUAAUAGUCUAACAGGACCUAUCCCGUCAUUGCUGAGAAAUAUGAAAGAACUCCAAUCUUUAGAUUUGUCCUCAAAUCAACUGACGGGGGCUAUUCCACCUCAGUUAACUGCGCUGACAUUUCUAGAGGUCUUAAACCUCUCGGGAAACCAUCUUAGUGGAGAGAUUCCUCAGAAAGGACAAUUCAGCACAUUCAACAAUGAUUCGUAUCUAGGAAACUCCGCUUUAUGUGGAUCACCAUUGACGAAGAAAUGUGCAAACACAGCAUCACCUCCACAAGAAGUCGGAAAUGUUGAUGAAGAUUAUGCGGGUGAUGAAUUGACAUGGGAAGCAAUCAUGAUCGGAUAUGGAUGUCGACUGAUAUGUGGAUUGUCAUCUGCAUACAUUGUUCUCAAACUAGGAAAGCCUUGGUAGUUUGUGAGAUAUGUCGAAGUACUGCAACAGAAGUUGAUGAAAAGAUGCUUGAAGAAAGGUACUGGUCGACCAAUAAGAACUUGAAAGUUGUUGUCCUGGUAGACAUUUCUGAACCAGUAGUAUUUGGUAUUAUGUGAUAUUCUGUUUGGUCCGGACUCAUAACGAUUUCGCUUGCUUCAGGAGUAUUAAUAUUAACCUUCCUAUCUUGAUCAAUGUUAAUGCAAAUUAAAAUGAAAAGGCAAAAAAUAUGCAUCAAAUCCCCUCCUGUUGUACCAAGAUUCAUUAAUUAAGAGGCAUGGCUUUUGUCUCUCCAAGUCUUCGAGAAAUUAUUCCAAGUCUUCUUUGGAGGCCUACUGCCUCAACAACCUUUCAAAGAUGUAGCAGUUGCUCGACAGUGAUAUAUAUAUUAGAUAAAGACUAUGCAACAACCAACGUGACAGAAAAAUCAAAAUAGGACAAAAUCCGUACGAAUCAAAAUAGUUUAUUUCUAAGGGGAAUAGCUGAAUUAAAUUGUAAGAGAAGUAAAACAGAUUCUUUUAUAUUUUGGAAUAUAACUGAAAAAGAUUUUGAGAUAAUUUUCAGAAAUCAAACCAGUCAAAUAAAUAUUCGCUGAAGGAACAGAGUAAAGAUACAACGAAUAUAACAAGUUGUAAGAUGAAUAUCGCUGAAUCAAACAGGGUAGAACCCGUACAAAAACGCCAAACAGAAAGGAUCAAAACAGAGUAAUCAAAUUUACCUAACACUAAUAGAAGUAGUGCUGAAUAAAAGAGAACGAAAUCUGUACCUUAAAAAUAGCAAACGCAAACACUAACCAACCUCACAAGGGACCAUCUAAACUCCCUAACCCCGACUUUAUCUUAAACUCCAAAUAUCUCCCUGACUCCAAUAUGCCCAGAACAAUAAACGAAUGUUUUGACCUUCUAAACGAUGUUUUCUGGAAUAACGCAAAACACGAAAAUCGUAGAGAACGAAAAGACCUUUCCGAAAAGGUAAGGCUCGUCAAGAACGGAGUCAUAACGAAUCGGGAAUUAAAUAAAACGUCCGCUGAUUCAGAACUCAAAGCGAGAACAGGAUCUGAUUAAGUUUUGUAAUUUUGAGAACAGUUUGAAACAUAAUCUGAGAAAACAUUAUAAACGAAAGUAUAUGAGAUUGAAAGAGCUUUCCGAAACAUCAAGAAUCAUCAAAUUCCGAUAAGAAUUGAAUUUUCUACGAAUUUUACAAGACAGCUGAUUUGUGAGAAUAAAGCCCUACGAAUUUUUGUCAUAAAAAUGAAGAGAAGGUUGAGUAGCUCUCAAAAGUAUAUAAAAAGAAUGAGAGAACAAAUCAAUAUACUCCCUUUGUCCCUCUCGUUUAUUUACAGUGUUUGACACGCAUUUUAAAGCGCAUAUAAAACAUAGUUCUAUGAUUUAUUUUCAAAAUUUUUCUUUUUUGUAUAAAAAUUUAAACAUCAAAUUUUUAUCUAGAAAAAAAGGAAGUUCAAAAUAAUUUAUUGAACUACGUUUUACGAGAGCAUUAGAAUGCGUGCCGAGCCCCCGUCCCCCAAUGUAAACAAAUGAGAGGGACGGAAGGAGUAUAUAUACAGAGUCUUGAGACCCUAAUUCUAAACCUAUCCAUUAUCUGAAUGCAAGGCUGAUCUAUAUUUUAAGUACACUAUCCUAAUUCAAUUUUAAAUCCUAUUCAUAAUCUAAUUUUAAUCCUUUAUUAUUAUUACUAACCAAUUAAUAUUAUUUUAAAAAAAUACUGGAUAUUACAUUCCUGAUCAGACUAGUGAUCGGAUUGCAACCGCAAAGCAGCCUAUAUAUAGUGACAAUUAAAUACACAACAAAACAACUUCUUUCUUCUCUCUUGGGUUAUAAUACUCAGACGGACAAGCUAUAUCUGAGGCGAUUUUCUGGGCGAUUAAACACACAAUAAAAGCAGCUUCUUCUUCUUCAAUUAAGGUUUAUUCUACACCCAAUCACAUACACACACACACUUUAAUAUGACUAGUGAGUUCAAUUUUUGGUGGUAUUAUAUGAUUAUCAUGUUCUCUUUUUAAAUAUUAGUAACGUUAUUUUCGGAGUGGACUCUGUUGAUGUUUAAAUUUGAUAUAGAUAUUGUAAUUGAAAAUUUAUGUUGAUUUGUUGUUCAGAUUUCAAGUAUUAAUUUGUGUGUGAUCAAAAUUUUGCUUCUACAUCGAUUAUCAGGAGGAAAUAUGAGGCCGAUCUUGAUCAAAGGACACGAAAGGCCAUUAACAUAUCUAAAGUAUAACAAGGAGGGUGACCUCCUCUUCUCCUGCGCAUUAGACAGAAACCCCGCUGUUUGGUACGCUGAUAAGGGAGAGCUUUUAGGCACUUACCGUGGGCACAUUGGUUCUGUUUGGGGUUGUGAUGUUUCUAGGGAUUCAAAACUUUUAAUAACUGCAAGUGCGGAUCAAACAGCAAAGGUAUGGGAUGUUCAAACUGGGUCUGAGCUGUUCACGUUUGAAUUUAAGUCCACUGUGAAAUCAGUAGAAUUUGGUGUCGGAGACAAGCUUGCUGUCAUUGCAACAGACUCCUUUCGUGACAUGUCUUCUGCAAUUCAUGUCAAACACAUAGCCAGAGAUCCUAGUGAACAGUGCGGUGAUUCUGUGAUUGAAUUCUCACCUGGAGGAAGAAUCAAUAGAGCUGUUUGGGGACCUUUAAAUAGGACCAUAAUAAGUGGUGGUGAACAAGGCGUUGUUCGUGUGUGGGACGUUGAGACAAAGAAAGUGAUUUAUGAGUCAGACAAGGAUACUGGUCAUCAGAAGGCCAUUACAUCACUUGCAAAAUCAAGAGACGGUUCACAUUUACUUACUGCUUCCAUUGACAAAUCAGCUAAGCUUUGGGACAUCAGAUCAAUGAAACUUCUCAGGACAUACAAGGCUGAAGCCCCAGUUAAUGCAGUUGCACUCUCUCCACUACUUGAUCAUGUCGUGCUCGGAGGUGGUCAAGAUGCAUCGACUGUUACAAACGAUCCUCGUGCUGGCAAGUUUGAGGCCAAAUUUUAUUCCAAGGUCCUUGAAGAAGAAAUUGGAUCUGUGAAAGGACACUUUGGUCCGAUAAAUGCAUUGGCAUUCAACCCUGAUGGAAAAAGUUUCGCAAGUGGAGGUGAAGAUGGUUAUUUGCGAUUACAUCACUUUGAUCAUGACUACUUCAACAUGGCGAUUUAAUUCGAAUUACUUACAUUGCUACGUCUUUUUUUUUUUUUUUCCGGUUUUAUUCAAGUUAUUUUCUGGUUUUUAUGUUGAUCUUAUGUUCUUUGUUAUAAAUAGAAGUGUGGUUCCUUUUAAAACUAUUUACAUAAGUUUUUGGCUUUUCAUGUAAUUUAAUCAAAGUAAAUGCCAUGAGAUCCUGAAUAUAUCUACUUAUCUAUCUAUCUACUUAUUAAAGCAGAAUCAGGGGAAAAAUAUACCAGAAAUUGGAUGAAAAAUUUACAUACACACCCUCAAUUAUUCAUCAAUUCCGAAAUUGGCCUGUAGUUUAGCUGUUAACUUGCAGGAUUUUUGUAAAAGUAGGAAUCAGCGAUUCUUAGGUACCCCAGUGACCCCGAAUCGGUUUCUCAGAUUCUUGGAAAUCCUCGGUCAGUUGAUUUAGAUUGUGGGCAUAUAUACACCUAUAGUCAGCCUCCGGCGGUGCAAUCUUUUGGUGGUGUUUUUCAGCCUUUUCUGCUAUAGCGAUUCUUGUUAAAACAUUCAGGUGCUAGGGUUGUUUUGUUGGUAAAGGGAAUUGGAUUGUUGUAUCUGCGGUUGUGGCAAAGGUAAUUUUCUUGCCCUUGCUAUUCUUUUGGGAUGUCUGAUUAUAAAUAGCCCUUCUAACUUUGUUCACCUGUUCUGUAUGAUGUGUGUCAUUUGUGAUUGAGUCGAGCAGUAUAUCAUUUUGAUGCAUAUUGUUAAUUUCACUCUGGGAAAUUUUUAUGCUGAUGUUUGGGCAAUUAAUUCUGGUUAUUUCGUUGAUUUUGUUUGUGGUUUGUUUCCACCUGCCAUUAGAACUGUAAAGUAAAGUGUAUUUAUUGAUCAUGAUUCAAGUGUUUGUAGAUAAUCGAUGUGGGUGACAAAGAAGCUGCAAAUGAUGAUGGUUCUUCACAAAUUUUAUCUGCUUUGCUUCCUUUUGUUGUGGCUCUCACCAUGGUUGUCAAGUCGACGACUGCUGUUGCUGCUCUUGCUCAGCCCUCAACUUUCACCUGGUAACAACUUUUGUAUGUUUGGUAAAAUAUUUUGAUUUUUUUUUUUUUGUAAGGGUAAAAUAUUUUGAUUGUGAUAAGCUAAUUUAUUGUUUUUUAAUGAUUCCAACACUACAACAGAUUUAGCAUCACACAACGGUUUUUGCCCGUUGUCUGAGACCACGGAAAACCGUGGUCUAUCGAGACGCCGUCUGAUAUGCGUAUCAGACAACGGUGCGCACCGUUGUGUGAUAGUGCUAAACACGAUGGUUUACGUUAAAAAAAUUGUUGUGCAACACCCAGAACCAACAACGUUUACUCUUAAACGUGGUGUUGUUAGAAACACUCCUUAACAAUAGUCGAUUUCAAAAAUGGUGUUGUUAGAGAGACUAUCCACAACAGUUUUAUUAGCUCGCAAGACUUGUUGGAAAGAUGAUCAUACAACAGUAGUUGAAAUAGAGAAGCUCGUUCUUUCCUCUCUUGUACAACGGGUUUCGAACACCAAGCCACUUGUGUAAGGCCCCUUCUAACAAUGUUUUAAUUAGUGAGGUUGUUGUGUUUAGUUACGUCAGACAAUGGUUUUCUUUCAUAGUUGGUUGUCGUUUACAUGUUUUAACAAUUGUUUCUGUUUCAUCAUUAUUGCAAGUCAUUUGUUUGGACAAUGGUUUUGUGACAAUAAAUCAUUGUUUCCAGUUUUAUGAGACAAUGUUUUUAAUGAAUAAUGAUUAUUGUAUCAUGUUCAGUAUGACAAUGGCCCUGUAUUAUCCCAUUACCUAAAUACAUAAUAGACAAUGAUUAACAUAACUCGAUUAAACUAAGCUAGAGAAUGUAAUUAAAAAGCCAAAAAUUUGUAAACAAAAAAUUUCAUUAUGCACUAAUAACCAUUGUUACAACCAAAUCAUAUAUACCAUCCAAUAUCCAGAAAUAUUUCCCCCGAGGAUGGCAAAUCUCAAAAAUAUAAAUACCUACAAUAAAUGGUAGCAUCUAGAGAGGCAUAUGUGACUACAAGAGUCUUUUGUGAGCUUUUCAACUACCCAGCCCAGGAACAAUCCUCUGAUUGCAUUCUUUUGAUUCGGAUGGAGCCCUCCUGCUAUCUCUUUUGGAAGUGACUCUACUGCAACCACCUGUAAUACAUAAAAAAGUUCUUGAUAUGCUUUUCGUACAAAGAAAUUAAUGUGGUUGAGGAGUAUGUUUCGAGUUCAAAAUAUACCAGUGUGCCAUCUUCCAUGGUUUCACGUCAUUCAUACACAAUAAAUUGUAGCAAUUGUGAGCCCUAUCAACAUACCAGUCUUUCUGUAUUUAGAGUUGGAGCAGCUAAGCCAAAAUCAGACAAAUGGGGAUUGAGUUCAUCAAGUAAAAUAUUUGCUGACUUUAAGGUACUAUUAACAACAUAAGGAACAACAUCAGCAUCUUGCUUCUAUCAUCAGUGAAGUAUAAAAACUCUUGCAAGCUACUAUUUGCAAUAUAAUCAUGGACCAGAAGACGUACCAUGUUCAGCGGAAUAUCAUUCAAAUCUCUGGCAUGGUUGUUGUGAUGGAUAAAAAUAAGUUCCUUUAUGACCUGAAUUAAACAUUAAAAGAUACCAAAUUAACCGAAAUGCGUAGAGAUGCACAAAAAGUCCAGGCCCGAAAAUAUGGUCAUAGAGAUUUAAAAAAAGUCGAAAAUAAAGACAAACCAUGUGAGUAAAAAGCAGAGUAAGGAGGAUUGAUGGUAGUGUUUGAUAUAGAUGCCAUGUGGGUAGAUCCAUAUGAGCUGCUGGAAGCAGAGAGAUUUCUUCCAAACUCUCUUACAUUAUUGACAACAUUUGUGUUAACAUAUAUGUGUUGUAUAUGAAAUUUUAAAGAUUAGAUACAUAAAUAUAAUAUUAUUCGGAAAAUAUAACAUACCAUCUCGAGUCAUUUUCUUGCUUGGUCAUUAAAAUAACCUACAGCAAGUAAUGUACCCUCACUCUAUAAGAAGAAGAUGGACAAAAAGAAGUCAGUUGUAUGGAUGCCUCGGAAUAUAUACAAGAAUGUCCCAGGGAUAUUUAUUCAGUUGAUGAAGCAUGUAUAUCUAGAAAUUAACAAACCUCAUCAGCCAAAACAAAUAUAAAAUUAAUAAAAUCAUCUGUCUCCAAACACACAGAUUAAAAUCAAAGCACAAAUGUUAUCACACAAAACCAAGACAACACAAGAUCCAUCACUAAAACACACAACUACUACUAAAAUCAAACACACAAACAAAAAUCUCAUAUAGAUUCAAACUUUAUCCCCAAAAUCAAGUAUAAUUACACAGUAAAAAGCAUUCGUUUACCUCUUCAUAAGGUGAAUUGUUGUUAAACUAAUCAGCACGGUCAACACCGGCAUCAAAAACUUGAAUGGCCUUUGGGGUUAUCGCCGACAGAACAGAUCUGAGUAAGCUUUGUAGAAAAUGAGAUAGAGACGGGGGAGGGAGGGGAGAGUUCAGAGGAGGGUGAGGGAGAGACAGAGGGCGAGAGGGAGGGGAGGGGCGAGAUGCUUUAACAAAUCAAUUGCGGCAAGAGUGGGGAAGACACAGCCGCACCAGAAGAGGAAGAGAUAGAUUCAGAAGAAGAGAGAUUUACUCUCACUUACAAAUUUUAGGUCAAAAUAGAGGGGGGGAAAUGAAAAUUUGGAUAAACAAGUAGAGAGGGAAUUGAAAAUUUUUGUAAGGUGGAAAUCAUUCGUUCAUCCCGUGUAAAUAACAAAAUCAAUGUAUUAUAAUAUCCAUAUAGUUGAAUUAUAAAUAAAUGAAUUUUUUAAAUUAUAUUUUUGUAUUUGAUUACAAAUAUUUCAUAUUAAAUAAAUUUUAAAAACAAUUUUAAUGUAGAUGUCAAUAUCUAAUUAUUUUAGUUAUUUGUGAAAAUCUUCAAAAAAUUAAAAAUUAAUCUGGUAAAUCUUUUUGACAAAAUAUAGUUGAAAUACAACUAUUUAAUAAAAAAUUAAUAAUUCUUUAAAAGUUAAAAUUCUCAUUUUCUCGAUGUAUUCCGUUUUUGUACUCUUUGUCUAAAUAAAAUAUACACAAAUUUUUAUUAUUCAUUUGUAAUAAGAAGAUAUUUGUGUGGUUCAAAUGUCAAUAUUAGUAUAAAUUUCAUAUUUACAAUAUAGGAUGUACUUAAUAGAAGUUUUGUGAUCUAUAUGAUUAACCCCGUAUUAAUUUUGAAAUAUUUUCGAUCAUCCAAACAUAUAAAGAUCUUAAUAUCUAUCAAUAUUAGUCAUGUAUAAUAUUUUUAAAUUUUUCUAUAUUUAUUUAUAUCUUGUUGUAACAAAACUAGUGAUGAUCGUUGUUUUUAUGUCAUUUCUUAUUUUUGUACUUUUUAUCAAAAAAUUAUAUUUAUAUUAUGCAUAUGUCCAAAUUUGUAUUAUUCAUUUGUAAUUGGAAGAUAAUUUUGUUGUUCGGACCUGAGUAUUACUAUGUGUUUUAUGUUCACAAUUUAGGAAGCACUAGAUAGAAUUUUUGUUAUCUACAAAAUUUGCUCUGAAUUAAUUUAUAAAUAUUUUUUUCGAUGAUAUAACCGUACGGAUGUUAAUAACUAACAAUAUUAGUCAUGCAUAAAAAAAUUAGAUUUUUUUAUGCUUAUUUUAUAUGCUUUUUUUACAAAACUAGUCAAUUGUAAAUUUUGUCUUAUUGUAAAAAGGUAAUUUUUGUCUUGUAGUGUCCAACAGACAACGGUACUUAUAGGCACGUGUGUUGUAUGAGUUAAAAUGACACAACUGUUAUGGACAUUAUACAGUCAUAACAAAAUCUAUUGUCUAAAAUAGGCUCAAACAAUGUUUCGGGAAAAACUCGUUGUGUGUAAGUAGUGUAGACAAUGGUUUCUGGGAGGCAAACCGUUGUAUAAUAAAUUUUCAUUUUUAAGAGUUAGAAAUUCACAUUUUCUUGAUUAGUUCUUGUUUUUGUACUCUUUGUCUUAACAAAUAUACUUAUAUUAUGUAUAUAUGCAAAUAUCAAUUGUCAUUUGUACUAUGAAGAUAAUUUUGUAGUUCGAACAUGAGUAUUGGUAUGUGUUUUAUAUUUACAAUUUAGAAAGUACUGAAUAGGAUCUUUGCUAUAUAUAAGAUUAGCUCCGUAUUAUUUUAUAAAUAUUGAUUUUGAUGAUCUAACCGUACGGAUGUCGAAAACUAACAAUAUUAGUCAUGUAUAAAAAAAAUCAAUUUUUUAUGUUUAUUUUGUAUGUUUUUUUUAACAAUACUAGUCAAUUGUAAAUUUUGUCUUACUGUAAAAAGGUAUUUUUUGUCAUGUAGUGUCUAACAUACAAUGGUUUUUAUAUGCACCUAUGUUGUAUAAUUGAAAAUGAUACAACUGUUACAGAAGUAUACCGUUCUAAGAAAAUCUAUUGUCUAAAUUAGGCUCAAACAACGGUUCACGGAAAAUCCGUUGUAAAAAAGUAGUGUAGACAACAGUUUAUGGGAAGGAAACCGUUGUAUAAUAAAUUUUCAUUUUUAUGAGUUAAAAAUUCGCAUUUCCUUGAUCAAUUCUUGAUCUAAUGCAAGAAAAACAUAUGACUAUCAAGAAAUUGAUUGUUUUGUUAUAACUUUGGUUAGGACUUUGAAUCUUUGCACUCUCUUAUGUACAUCCAUUUUCUUAAAAUUCAUUCAAUCAUACAACAUUUUAUUAGUUAGUAGAGGCUUGUCUAUAAUGCCAUGCUACAAUGCUAACAAAAACACUUGUAUGUUAGCUUCCCAGUCACACAACACUAUAUAAAACCCUUGUUUGAACUCCUCGUAAACAACACAACAAAUAAAACACUUGUCUAAUUACAACGACGGUUUCUUGAACUAUUGUCUGAAGUUUCUUCACACAUCGGCUCUCAAAACAGUUGUCUAACAUGCAUCAUUACACAAUACCACAGUUAAGAAACCAUUGUCUAAUUGAAUUUACUAGACAACAAUUUUUUAACCGUUGUAGGUCGUAGAUGUUAGACAAUAGUUUUUCGAGGCCGAAAAGAAAGUGUUGUGUCUUUUUUCCAAACAACGCUUUUUUCACCGUGCGUUGUCUGAUCAGUGUUGUCUAAUGGUGUUAUUGUUGUAGUGCAAGUUGGAUUUAUUUAAUGCUAAUAGGUACUUGUUCAAGUGAGGAGAUUUAACUGAGAUUCAGGUUCUGGCAUUUGUCUUGUGUUGUUAUUUGUUUAUGUACCGGUUUUGAGAGUCAUUAGAGAUAUGUAAGGUAUUUAUUCCUAUUUUUUAUUAUUAGUAUUACAUCGUUUUCGGGUAAAAUAAUCGAUGAUUGUUUGUUUUAACUGUGUAAUAGCCUUAUGAUCUGCCAACUUAUGUAGACAUGUGAUAAACAUGUUGACUGUGGUCAAUAUUUUAGAUGAGGUAGUGUGUUUGUUGUUAUUGCAAGACUUUUUGGAAUAAUCAUUGUCAAAAAGAACUAACGAUGAAUGGAAAUGAAGUUCUGAAGAAGUGAUGAUACAAUGUUAAAGAGAUUGCUUUUUGUUGAAUUUUUCUGACUCUGGAAUUAAACUGCGUUAGUAUCUUCUUCUCUGAUUUUCCUUAUUUGGUAGACCUACUACUUUCAGAAGAUACAUGUGGUAUUUGUUUGGUUGAUUAAUUUUGGUAAGAUACAGUUUCCGUUUGGAAUCAGACUAUCCAUUGAACAAUCAGACUAUCCAUUGAAGAUUUUAUGCUCGCUCUUAAAUGGUUGAUCCACUGAUCUUAUUCUUACUUCAUAUGAGCUAAAGCCAGCUCUAGGGGUGUUUCUCGCAUACAAAAAAAUUAAAAAAAAUAUUAUGAAACUAUACUUUGCAGGAGUCUCAAAAUAAAUAAGUGUAAACGAUAAACUUAAACACCUAACUUCUUAAACACCUAGCAUAACACGGGUGAGCAUAUGGUCAAUCAUACCAAAUUGAAUAAAUCGAAAUUAAAAUUUAAAUAUUUUUAGACUGGACCAAACUGAAAUAUUUUGUCCGAUCCAGUUCAGUAUGAUCGAAAAGAAUUGAUUCUUUUGGAAAAAGUAACUUAAUAUUAUAAAUAAAAUUAAGAUUUAUAAUUUAUUUAAAAACUAUCAAUGAAUCAUCAACACUUCUUCAAAAAUAGAUACAUUUGAAUUUAUACAUUAGAUAUUAUAACUUCUAAAAAGUAUAUAAAAAUAUAUAAUAUAAAUAUAAAUUUAUAGUAUAAUUUUUUUGACUAUUUAGAAUAUAUUUUUAACCCAAAUAUUUUUUUUUAAAAUCAAAUUUUAUUUCGAUGAACUUUUCUAGAAAAUUAAGAUAGAAACGAAACUCAUUCCUACAGUAAGGUUUCAGUUUUUCGGCUGCAAUACGGUUUUGCUCAUCAUUAGCAUAAAUGGAGUAUGUAGUAAAUAUGAAUGAAUGGCAUGGGAAUUCUUGGAAUGGUAUCAAGAAUUAAGAUUAAAGCACAUUAGAAGUUUAGAACCAUGAAUGUUAUUUUUGAAAAUAGUAAUCCCUCCGUUUCUUAUCACGUUUCUCGUUUGAUAUGUCGGAACGGUUCAUAAUAUGAGACAAAUUAGUAAUUUAUGUCCAAUUUAUAAAAUUAAAUAUAGUCAUGAGUGAUCUUGUUGGAUUCGUAUCUAUGAGUACUUUAAUAAGAUGAAAUUUUUAUAUUUAAUGUUAAUACAAAAUUAAAAUAUAUUAAUUAAAAAUAUAUAUUGACAAACGUGAUAAAAACAAACAGCAAAAAUAUUAAGAAACGAAGCGAGGGAGUAAUAAAUAUGCUUUAUGCUGAACUGAAUUGAGUGCGUGGAAGCUUGGGGAGGCAGCUUACUACAGUAUCUACGUGUAUCUGUAUAUGCAAUAAAGACACAAAUACUCACAGGAGAUUAUUUUUCAAACACUUAAUUUCCCCCUUUCCUUCUCGUAAUAUUCAACUCAAUUCAUCACAUCAUCUUCUUCAGACAAACAACUAUACUCACUUCAGAUCAUCACAUCAUCUUCUUCUUGACUUCAGAUCCACAUUUCAAACCCUAAUCAUUCGCUUGGUCCCCUCCCUCUCUGUAAUAAUACAAUUCUUUCUACACACAAACAAUAACAUCAUCAUCAUCGAGUGAAGCUUCAUAUCCACAUUCCAAGACCUAAUUACUCGCCAAACCACUCUCGCUCUCAUGGAGGAGGCCUUAGAAAUGGCGAGAUCGAAUGAUACCAAGAAGCGAAGGGCGGGAGUGGAUCGGCUGCAACAGCUUCUUGAAGAUUCAAGAAAGUGCUUGUCAUCGUCGGAAGUGACGGCGCUAGUCGACACGUGUCUUGAGCUUUUGAAGGACACGUGUGUUGCUGUCGUCGGCCGCGGAGUUGUUUAAGUUGCAUUCUGAUAGAAUUAUGACGGCGGUUGUUGAUAGGUUGUGGGAUGGGGAGCAGCGGGUUCGAGACUCGGCGAGGAGGCUGUUGAUUACCCUUAUGGAGGUAAUUUAUUAAUUUUCUUGGGGAAUGCCAGUUGAUUUUAUGGAAUGUGAUAUAGUAUAGUUUCUAUCAAUCGAGUAUCUUAAAUUGAUGACUACAACAAGUAUUAUCGUUUUGCACGCAAGUGGCUAAACUUUUAUGCAUGCCAAAUUGCCAAUCGGGUUUCAAUUUCAGAUCUCUGCCUUCACUUGCAUACGAACACAUUUGAGUUUAAAAAGAUGAAUCACCUCAUAAAUAUCAUUAAUAAUUAGUUGGUGUUAAUAGUGCACUGAAAAAUGGGAGAGAAUGACAAGACUAUAGACAGUAGUAGGGCUGAGCGAGAUGUUAAUUGAGUACUUAUAUGAUGCUUCACUAUGUUCAGGGAGUUAGUUUAUUGCUUCUUUCCUACACUUUCACUUGAAUUAGUACUAAUUAAUAAUUCCUUCUCUAUCUUGUAAAAUUUCUCCUUCAUUGCUAAGCAUAUCUACUCUGAUUAAUUUUCAAACAAACUUUACUACUGAGAUAGGAUUGUUUGCUGGGUAGGAGCACCAUAGAAUGAGUAGCUCUAUUGCUAUAUACUGAAGGGUGCGGUGGCAUCCUCGGUUAUAUUUUAAGUGCUACUUCGAAUUUAGUUGUUGGCUUUUGCAAUUUAUUUUCAUUCACAAUGUUUUAAUAAUGAUACCCCAUAUUAGGUGAGAGAUAUUAGUGCCAGGCUGGAGCAGAUUCAGAUUCAACCAGCAACUUCCGUCUCUUCCAUCUCUGAAGGACUUAAUAGUAAUCUUCUCCACCAUGCACCUGAUUUAGAAGUAUAAUGUAUUAAUGUGAACUUUUUAUUUAUAUUUAUUUCCAUGUGUAGUAAAACGAUCACAUCUUUUAAGAGCUUAGUACAAUGUUAUGUACAAUGUGUAAUUAAUUAAGAGGUUUGUACAUAGUUUAGUAUGAAAUGGAAAAAGUUUGUACAGAAGUUUAUUUGUUCACAUUACAGCUGAGACGAGCAAGCAAAAACCAUCAGAGAAUUCAAAGGAUAAUGAUAAAGGAAUUGAGCCCCUACUGGAACUGCCGGAAGAUAUUAUCUUUCUACAAAUUCUGCCUAAGUUGAACAGCCUAGAUGUUCUUCCCCUGGUUUUGGUGGCUAGGAGUUGGGCCUCCUUUCUUUUGCAUGAGGGACCCAGACUGAUGUUAUUCAACCCACCUAAAAAUCCUACACCUAAACACACUUCAAUUUUAUUUGAUGUAAGCCCGAUUCCGUACUCUGUUUCAGUUUUGUUAUCCCCAGAGAGCCGCCAACUGUGUCAGUCUAGGUGUAUAAUUGUUCCAAUCUUGAAUUCUGGUAUAAAACAUGCUGUUCCAAUUUUCACUGACUACCCAGAUUUUUUAAAGCAGGGGGAAGUCCCAACUGUAGUGGGAUCUUCCAGUGGUAUUAUAUGCCUCUAUAUCACCAGUUCUCCCUCUAGAUACAUCCUGCUAAACCCCUUAACAAAACAUUAUAAAGAGGUUGGGGCCCCUUAUAUUUUUGUACCAGAUUGUGAGCAAGCUUCUGUAACUUCUGGAUUCUUUUAUGAUGAAUGGACUGAUGACUUAAAGAUCGUACAAUUGUUGAGAUGGGAUCAAAGGCUUACGAGCUUGGAUGCUCCGGGACCCAAAAAGAUACAUGCGCUUCGCGUUUGUUCUGUAAAUUCUGCAAAUUGGGAAGUUGUUGACUUGGGGCCAAUGAAAGUCUCCGAUCGUCUUGGUGGUGUGUUAUUUUUGCCGAAAGCUCUCGUCACAUUUGUAGAUGCGUUUGCUACAGAGCCGGAGAUUAACUUUUGGUUGGAUUUUCGUGAUUGCCGUCUAAAGGCAGUUCCGGAAUUAGAAGGGGCUGAACUCAGUAUGAAAUCGGUUUGGUGGAAUAACCAGGUUGGUGUUAUUGUUGGAACUGACAGCAUUUAUGUCCUUGAUGAGGAGUUUGCAGCCUGGUAUUACUGCACAGUGCUUCCGGACGUGGGAAAUUGUGUAUUCUGUUUAGAUGAGAACAAAAUUGUGGGGAUGGGGGCUGGGGAAAGCGGAAGCGUAAAUGAUUACAAUAUUCUUAAUUCCACAAGCGGCGAAAUCCAACAUAUAAUCUCGUUGCCUUCUUGCAGGGUUUUUCCGUAUGUUCCUACAUUCUACUAUAUCGAGGGAAUGGCUAAUUUUUAGACUUUUGCAAGUCACAAUGUAAUAAAAGAAUGUAAACAGUACAUAGCAGCAAUACCUCUCUAUAGCAUAUAGUUUCAGAUACAACAUGUAUUGUGAUGCCAGCUUGUAGAGUACAAGUAUUAUUCUAGGUGAUUGAUUGUUGAGAAUAAUAGAGGCAACCGGUUGCAUGAUGGUAUCCUUGAAACUUUCAUAAUUACUAAUAUCGAACUCAGAUAGCAUGCAAUUUUUCCGGAGAUCAUAUUCUUUAGCUAUCAACUAACUCUACAUUAUAUAUUAUGUCCCAGAUCAAUGAGUUUGUUUGCUAUAAUGUCCUAUUUUAUAUGUGAUUUAGGAAUAUGUUCCAUUAACUUGUUAUCACCCUCAAAUCUAAAAUCUAAGACUACCAUGUCCUUAGUUUAUUUUGUUUAAUAUUUGUGAAUAGACUCUAAUCUGAUCAUAUCAAUUAUAUUUUAGUAACAGAUGUUUAAAUGCAUAUGUUUUUGUUAUCUAGUUAUUUCAAUGAUGAUGGGAUUAAAUUUUUUUAUUCUUGUAAUAUGUACAAUGAUUGGUUUAGCUUUAAUAUUUAUUUUUAUUUUUAUUUACCAAUUUUAAUGUAGGUAAAGUUUUAUCAGCAAAUUUUAUUUUUUGUAUGCAGUAAUCUGUUCUAAUAUCAAAUUUUGAUUUAGAUCGAGUAUUAGUAUGUUGAAUUUGCAUUCAUCUAGUUAGAUGAGUGAAACUGGCUAAUUAAUGGAAAAUCAUAAGUACCUGAGUUGUUUUCAAAUUUUUUUCCCAAAUUUUAAUUGUUUGAUUGGUUUCUUCAAAUUAAUAUUAAUGGAAUCAUGAACGCACAUAAAUAAUUUAAUUAAAAAUUAUUUAUUUAUGUGUCAUUUAGAAAAAAUUGGGGACAAAAUUUGGGAUAGUAAUGGGGACGAAAUAUGUGUUAGCGUUAAUGGUUUAGCGGCAGUGGAGAACGCAAUUUAAGAGCAAAUCCAAUAGUGUCCUAAACUAGUAUCCUAAAUUAAAAAUUAAGGUAUUUAUAUAAAUGAGUGCUCCACCUAAUGAGUGCUCCACCAAUGUCCAGUGAUACCUUAAAAUACUAGGAAAUCCAUCAAGCGUCUCGUUUUUAAGACAUCACUAGGCAUGCCCUAUUUCACUUCUAUCAAUAAAAUAUAUCUUUCCCUCGUUUUUUACAGAUCUCUUCUCUCUCAUUUUUUCCAUUUAUGCCCAAUUAUAAUUCAAAUAUAAUACACCUUCAGUCCCUUUUUAGUUGUGAAAUUUACAAAAAUAAUUUGUCCUUAAAUAAUAUUCUCAUCCUUGUUCCAAUACAUAUUUAUACAUAUUUUUUCAUGUUUACCCCUUGAUUGUUGGUUCAAAUGUUUGACUGUACUACUAAUAUAUACAGUUUUGACUUAGUAUUUAAUAUAAUAAAUAAGGGCAUGCGUGGAAACAACUUACAACAUUUAAUUUUCUUUAAUAUAUGUAUUUUUGCAAAUGUGACAACUAAAAAGGAACAGAGAGAGUAUUAUUUUAAUCAUAAAACAUAUUGUUGGAGUUAAUAUAAAAAAAUCAUGUCUUAAAUCAUAAGAUUACUAUAUUUAAUUAUAUUUAUAAGGCAUCUAAUAGUACAAUAUUGGAUUUGCUCUGAUCACAGAUCAAUCAAAUGAUCGGCAACUUAAGCGAUCAAAUGAGAUGACUCGCAUAGUCCACGCUAAUCGAUAUCCUUAAGAGGAUGUUUGCCUGGGCUUAAAGCCCUUGCUUUAAGCCAUCUUUGGCUUUAAGCUGAAAAAUGUCUGUUUGUGUAAUAAGUCAGAAGCCAGCCUAAAGUCAGAAAUAAGCCAGAAGCUGACUUAAAGCCAGAAGUUAAUUUGAGGUACUUUUUUCAGUGGCUAAAUUUUUUUGAACUUUUUUUUUGAUAAAAAUUACUCCUAAAUCAUAAGUUUCUUAUAAAUCACUUUUAUUUUUAUUAUUAUAUUUUUAAUAACUCAUAAGUCAUUCAUAAGCCAAAAUUACCCAAACAGACAUUUUAAGCUAUCAGCUUAUCAGAUAAGACACGUUAAGUCACAAGUCACAUUAAGUCAUAAGCCAUAAGCUCAGCCAAACGGGCAAGUUUUCUAAGAGACAUUCCUGCUUAGUGCAUUUUUAAUAGGGUUGCCUAAAUCGUUGACGAAAUUGGACAUGUGAGACAUUAUAUAAAAUUUGUUAAACAUGUAAGUGAUUGUGUUUCAAUAAUGUUAACUACAUUGAUAGAUUAUAACUUAAAAAUAGUAUGUUAUUAAUAUUUAGAUUGUUAUAAAAAAAUAUAUGAGUUUAAUAUGAUAGGAAAUGAUGUGUAAAUUACCCCGAUUAUAUAUAUAUAUAAAUAAUAAUAUAUUUAUAUAUAUUAUACUAAAUAUAUUAUUAAAAAUAGAUAAAUUUUAUAAUAUAAUCAAAAGUAAAAAAUAAUCUUUAUUUUUAUUGAUUGAUUAUAAAUAUAUUGUAAUAUAAUAUAUUUUAUAAUUUUAAAUUGUUGUUUAUUUAUAUUAUAAAUCAAUUUUAAUAUGAUUUGAGGUUGAAAAUAUAAGAUAAUAUUAUUUUAUUAUUAUAUUAGGAGUUUGUAGUUUGUUUUUUAAUUAAAAAAAUAUAUUAUAUAUUAUAAAAUUAUUAUGUUUUUAUUAAAAAAUAAAAUUCCCCGAAACCCCGCGGGGAUCCCCGUUCCCCGUUCGGGGCGGGGAUCGGGGCGGAAAAUAAUCCCCGUUCGAGGUUCGGGGCGGGGUCGGGUAGGGCCGUAGGGGUAUUGAAUUCGGGGAUCGGGGUCGGGGAUAGCACUCCCCGCCCUCGAAGUCUCCCCGUGCCCAUCCCUAGUCGAACCUCUAGAGGUCCGUAAAAAAUCUCCAAGAAGAUUACACUAUGUAAUCUUCUUGGAGAUUUUUUACGGACCUCUAGAGGUUCGACAAAUAUAGUGGCCGGUAGGAUGUUGGUUAAAAUUAUAGAUAAGUGGUGUCUAUGGUUGAGUGUGAUUUUUUUGAAUAGAAUGGCUAUAUAUUUUAUUUUUGGGAUGCCAACUCAAUUUUUAAACUAAGGACUUCUCAUAUUUGGAGAUGCUAUAUGAUGGCAAAUCCCGCAAAUCUUCAAUUUUGACAUAUAUUAUCCUAAAUUCUCUUUCAACAAUGAUUGAUUCAAAUUUGGAUCAAGAUUGUUGGAUCCCGCUGACGUGGCAGUGACGUCAUGUUGACGUGGCGCCCUGGGGUGGACCCCGGUGCUGACGUGGCAGAUGACGCGGCGGUGACAUGGCGCCUGGUUGGGGUCCCAUUACUAACGUGGCAUUUGGGUAGAAAGUAUAAAUUACGGAAAAUUGAUGACAAACUGAGAGGUGCAUAUUAUAAGUUUUAAAAAGUAUGAGGAGAUAUUUGAUCAGUUUAAAACUAGUUUUUAGGUUUUUAGGCUAACCGUGGUUUGUAUAUUCGAGCAUCCCCGUGUAUAUUGACAUAUAGGUAAACUCCUUGCAAUACUUUGAGCUGCAAAAUCCAUCAAAAUUUUGAUUUAUCAUGUAACUGUUUGACAGAGUACUUCCAACUUUCAAGCGUAAGUAUCAAAAUCACUACCUUCAUAUGUUCCAUUAAGCGUGAAAGGUACAGAAUAAGAAGUGAAAGAAAUCCUUUAUAUUUACACGGCCAUUGAUCUUAUAGGAUCACCUAGCCCAUCAGUGCUAGGGAAUACGGAACCAUCUUAUCAAUUAACGAAGAAAUGUAUGCAUGCAGUGUCACCACCACAAGUCAGAAAUGGUGAUGAUGCUAAUGAUAAUGAACUCAAUUGGGAGUGAUCCUAAUGGGAUAUGGAUGUGGAUUGGUAUGCGGAUUCUUUGGGGUUUAUUGUUCUUACAAUGGGAAAGCCUUGGUGGUUUAUGAGAUACAUUGAAGUAAGUUGAUAAUGACAUGCACGGCUUAAUUAAGAUUAAUUAAGACAAACACCUUGACAAAAUGUUGUCUUAGAAUGAUAUGUAUUCUGAUUUUUCCUAAUUUAAAAUCAAAUUUAUUACAAUUAAAGUUAAAAUCUGCGUAGCACAUACUAUACUUUGAUUAAAUUUUUAUUGAAGUUGUCCAUAUUAACCUAGUGGCCGAAAGUGAAUAAAUUAAAUUAGUGGGGUCUAAUAUAAAAAUUGCAUUAAUUAAAAUUUGUAAUGUAUAGAUUAUGCUAAAGCUAUUCAUUAUAAAGAACAUAGGAAUGUUAAUCUCUUUAUAUGUUUGCAUGCGGAUAGUCUCUCGGGAGUGUGGUAUAUUGUCAUGGCUGGAAAAACGGCUAAUUUCUACGGUUUUUUUUUGACAGAAAUUAAUUUUGACGGAAUACUGUCGAAAUAUCGAAAGUCGAAAAUAAGCCGCAAAAUUACUUUUUUCAAUUUUCAAUUGAAAACUGUCAAAAAAGUCUCUGGCAAAAUUAUAUUUAUUUCUACAGAUAAUGUCGAAAAUAUUUUCCUGCAAAUUUCCCGCACCUUAGUUGUGAGCGGAAAUAGAUAGUUUGGACAGAAUUCCGUCGAAAUUACGCGAGUUCUUUGUAGUGUGUUUUCACACAUACGCUGAUAAUCUUUGGGGACUGGGGUAUAUUGUUUUCGCAAAGCACUGGUAGUUUGUGAGCUUGUCCAAUUUUUCCCCCCAUGCCUAUACUGGUUGGUCUCAGUCUUAGUGGUAAUAAGCUGGCGUCAAAUUUUCCAGAAUUCAUAUAUAAUUGCUAUAACAUGAUCCGAUGCCUGAAUCAGCAGCUAACAAUUUACGUAAUCUUGAAGAACUAUAUCUUGGUGCCAAUUCUUUCGAGGGCUCAUUUCCAACGAAUAUAUUCAAGCUUUCCAAAUUAAGGGUUCUUGACCUAUCUGUGAAUAAUUUUUCAGGUUCCAUUCCCAAUGGUAUAGAGAUGCUUCCCGAUCUUGGAAUAAAUCGUAUUUAUAAUAAUUCAUUUGAAGGAAUUAUUCCUUCUUCAAUUAGUCUACUUAAAGAUCUUCAACACCUAGACUUCGGUGACGACAACCUUGUGGUUUCAAGUAUAAUGUCUUACGGGUCCAAUCUAACCGAUCAUUACAGGCAACCCCAUUGGAGAUGCUCUUAAUAACAUUUUAACUAGAGAGUAUUUUCUAUCAAUUGCAUUUGUAUUAAAUUUGAUUUAGAUGAAGAGAAACAGAAUACAUAUGAUCCCGAGACAACAUUUUGUCAAUGUUUUCGUCUUGAUUGAACAGUCUUCUUCAUGCGUGUCCUUGUCAACUUCAGUUGCAGUAAUUCAAUGUAUCUCAGGAACCACCUUGGCUUUCCCAUUUUGAUAACAAGUAUCCUGAAGAUAAUCCGCAUAUCAAUCCACAUCCGCGCGUAUCCCAGUUGAUUUAUUAAUUUAUUCAUGAAGUGUUGCGAACGACAUUCCUGCAAAAGUAAAAGUCAGUGGAAUUUGUAUGAUAGCAUGAUGAAUAUUUAAAGUUUCAGUUAAAAUUUCACCAAGUAUUUUAUUUCUGGCUUAAGUCCCGGAUUGACGAAUUCUGCUGAUCACAUUUCUAAUCGACCAAUUCUGGUCGAAUAAAUUAAAUGGCACACUUCCUGAGUUGGUGGUAGGGGCGUUCUUCUUGUGUUUCUUUCUUUUCAUUAUUGACAUUGUUAUCCAGGCCCUUGCUUCUGGGCUUUUGUAAAGCACCCAUUUACGCCAUUGUCAUGAUCAUAGCUAGUCUUCCAUAUCCAAGAUACGCGCAUUAUAGUGGAUUUAUCUUUAUUAGUGAUUUCUGUGGAAAUGCAUAAUCUUAAUUAUAAGCUCCAAUAUUAUAAAAUAAACCUAACUUAUUAGAGUUAACAGGGCAUUUGUGUUGAUAAUUUGCGCAAUGUUAAUGGGGAUCGCUCCCAAGUCUUGGACGGACUCUUUCCAAGUCUUCUGAGGACCCAUCUGCACACUAAUUUGUCCGCCAACUAAAAAUUUAUAUAUAUUUUUCCAUAGAAUAUAAAUAGUUGGGGGUACUAACAGAACCUCUAGUAAAAUUAAUUAAUACCGUUAUGAUUUCGCAAACACAGCAGACAGCAGGCAUAAGGCUUAUAAAUAGAAGUGUCGUAUUUGGUUGAUGGUCAAGUUGAGUGGAAAUAUGGCACACUUUGUAAAGCCUUGUUAUCCUCUUCUCUUUGUUUUCUUUCUCUCAUUACUUCAAUCCAUUCUAACAACACAAGAGGGAGAAGCUCUUGUGAAAUGGAAGAAUAGCCUAGCCCCUUCUUCUUUUCUCGACUCUUGGUCACUCACCAAUCUCGAUAAUCUUUGCAACUGGACUGGCAUUACUUGUAACUCUGCAGGUUCAGUCUCUGAGAUUAACCUUAGUGAGAAACAACUUGAUGGAAUGCUGUCCGAGUUUGGUUUCACUUCAUUUCCAAAUCUCAACAAUCUCACCCUCGCAAUUAACUACUUCUCGGGUCCAAUACCACCAGCCAUUGAGAAUUUAACACAGCUUCAAUAUCUUGAGUUGAGCAAUAAUUAUCUAGAUGGUCCCAUUCCUUUCCAGGUUAGCAAUCUUCAGAGGUUGCUCAUCUUAAACCUGUCAGAGAAUGAACUGCAAGCUCCAAAUUGGUCCAAUUUUUCCCCCAUGCCUUUUUUGACCAUCCUCGACCUUUAUAAAAAUAAUCUUUUGUCAGAAUUUCCCGAAUUUAUAUCUAACUCGUGUAACCUUACGUACCUUGACCUCUCAUCCAACAAGUUUAGAGGGGAUCUUGCGCGAGAAUCAGUAUUAACCAAUCUAGGUGAUCUUGAAACCCUCUAUCUUAUUAGAAAUUCUUUCAAGGGGUCAUUUCCGUCAGAUUUAUUCAAGCUUUCUAAAUUAAAACGUCUUCACCUGUCGAGCAACAAAUUUUCAGGUUCAAUUCCUAAUGCCAUAAGGUUGCUUUGUGAUCUUGAAUUCCUAUAUUUAGGCAACAAUUCCUUUGAAGGACUGCUUCCACCAAAUAUAUUUAAGCUUUCAAAAUUAAAACAUCUUGUUCUUCGGAGUAAUAAGUUUUCAGGAUCUGUUUCCAAUGAUAUAAAUUUGCUUCCUGAACUUGAAUAUCUCGAUCUUAAUUCUAAUUUUUUUGACGGGCCGCUUCCUCCAGAUGUAUUCAAGCUCUCCAAACUAAGGUUUCUUUACCUCUCGGGUAAUACCUUUUCACGUUCUGUUUCCAAUGAUAUAGGUUUGCUUUCUGAGCUUGAAACCCUCGAUCUUAACUCUAAUUUUUUGAGGGUCCGCUUCCGUCAAAUAUAUUCAAGCUCAAAUUAAAAAUUCUAGACCUCUCAAACAAUAGAAAUUUAUUUCAAAGAAGUUUUCCUAUUGGACUGGAACUCUUGAGUAACCUCAGCUACUUAGGUCUAAGUUCCAGUAAUCUCAGUGGCAAUAUUCCAUCUUACAUUGGAAACCUGAAGCUACUAAUAUCUCUUGAUCUCAGUUCUAAUCAAUUGACUGGACCGCUUUCAAAGCUCGUUUCUAAUGUCACAAAUCUUAUAUUUCUUGAUUUAAGAGAUAAUAGUCUUAGUGGAAAUAUUCAGACUGACUUGUGGAAAUAUAACGAUCAUCCAACUCUGGAAUACAUCAAUUUGAGUGGGAACUAUUUUACGGGUAUAGUUUUUCUCUAUAGAUCUUUUCUUUUGUCAUAUGUAACUAAGCUAGUAAUCUGAUUAAUUGCAGUUUUACCAAAGUUUCAACAAUCUUGACAGGUGAGCUUCCAACAACAAUUUGCAAUGUCACUUCCCUUUCGGUUCUUGAUUUGUCAAAUAAUAACUUAAGUGGUGCACUUCCAAAAUGUUACGGGAAUCUUGCUGAUGGAUUGCUUUACAUUAAUCUUGCGAAUAAUCACUUUCGAGGAACAAUACCCACUACUUUCUCCAGGAGUUGUCAGCUGAUAUAUCUGAACAUGGAUGAUAAUGAGUUUGAAGGAUUGAUGCCCCCAUCUUUGGCGAACUGUAAGCACUUGAAAAUUUUUGAUAUUGGCAAUAAUAAAAUAGGUGGUACAUUUCCGUCAUGGCUUUAUGCACUUGGAGAGCUAGAAGUCCUUGUCUUGCGAUCAAAUAAACUCUAUGGUACAAUAAGUGGAAGGAGCAUAGAAGAUCCCUUCCCCAAGUUGCGGAUUGUGGAUCUGUCCAACAAUCAAUUCACAGGCCAUUUGCCAAUUCAAUACUUUAAGAAUAUGAAAUCAACUGAUAAUUUGUAUCGUUAUCAGAAUGACACAGGAGUUUUUUCUUUCCAUUAUGAAGCAUCUGUCUCAUUAACUGUGAAGGGAACAGAGUAUGAAGUGAAAAAUAUCCUUCAUAUUUACACAACCAUUGAUCUGUCCUGCAACAAGUUUCAAGGAGAAAUUCCUGACGUUAUUGGAGAGCUUAGAUGGCUUGCAUUGCUGAACUUAUCUCAUAAUAGUCUAACAGGACAUAUCCCAUCAUUGCUGAGAAAUAUGAAAGGACUCCAAUCUUUAGAUUUGUCUUCAAAUCAACUGAAAGGGGCUAUUCCACUUCAGUUAACUGCAUUGACAUUUCUAGAGGUCUUGAACCUCUCGGGAAACCAUCUUAGUGGAGAGAUUCCUCAGAAAGGGCAGUUCAGCACAUUUAACAUUGAUUCUUAUCUAGGAAACUCCGCGUUAUGUGGUUCACCUUUGAUGAAGAAAUGUGCAAACACAGCAUCACCUCCACAAGAAGCCGGAAAUGGUGAUGAAGAUGAAGCUGGUGAUGAAUUGACAUGGGAAGCAAUCGUGAUGGGAUAUGGAUGUGGACUGAUAUGUGGAUUGUCAUCUGCAUACAUUGUUCUCAAACUAGGAAAGCCUUGGUGGUUUGUGAGAUAUAUCGAAGUACUGCAACAGAAGUUGAUGAAAAGAUAUGCAUGAAGAAAGGUACUGGUAGAUCAAGAUGAACUUGAAAGUUGUUGUCGUGGUAGACAUUUGUGAACCAGUAGUGUACUAGCUGCAUAAGUAUUUGGUAUUAUGUAAUAAUCCGUUUGGUCGGGACUCAAAAUGAUUUCUCUUGCUUCAGGGGUAUUAAUAUUAACCUUGCUAUCUUGAUCAAUGUUAGGGCAAAUUAAAAAGAAUAUAAAAGCAAAAAAUUUGCAUCAAACACCUGUUGUACCAACAUGCAUCCAUUAAUUUGCUUUCAUCUAUUAAGUAACAAUUUAAGAGCGCUUCCACUCUGUUUAAGCAUGGAGAUAACACAAAGAAGGCAAGUCCAUGGACUAAUAUAUUAACACGUAGUCCACAUCUAUGGUAUGAACAAUUCAUAUUGCUCUUCUAUCUGUUCAACAGUCUCCCGAAGAUAGGCCAAAAAUGUCAUCUGUGGUUCUUAUGUUUGUCAGUGAAGGAGAAUCUCUGAUGCCUACACAACCUGGUGUUUUUACAGAAAGGAAUGUAGGUGAAACCAGGGGCGUAAAAUGAAUCAGGACUAAAAUCUGCUAAAAUGAUAAUUAUUUACUCAUCAUUCAAGAUUAGUCGGGCUCAAAGAUUUAUAUGGAUUUUAAGAACAAACUAUGACUAAAUAUGAAAAAAUCAUUAAUUUUUCCGACUCAAUAUUUUUUAGCCUCCCCCGGCCCUGGGUGAAACCAUAAGCUUCUCUGGUGCACAUCCAAAUCAUUCAGUUGGUUCUACUUUCAGCUCACCCACAGGAACAUCAUUCUGCAGGUACUCUUUUAUCUGUACUUUCUUAUAUUGUAUGCCAGUAAAUUUUAUAUCGACAAACUGCACAAUACACCUCGAUCUCAUAUUAUUGACAGGUGAGCUCCUCUCAUAAUGCUCACAGGCGAACCCCUGCAUAUAUACUUUGUGAUGUCAUUGAUGAUCGAUAGACUUGAAAAAAAAUUAUGACAAAGAUUCAUAAAAUAUCUACUUCCAUCCUAAUUCAGUAUUCAAUAUUAUUCAUUCGUAUCAUCAUCCAAUCAAUUCUAAUAGUUCUUCUUUAAAUCAGUACAAAUAUUGUUAAAUACCUGGAUGAUGGUUGUCUUUCCGCGAACCAAUCAUGAAAUUACCUCUGUAUAAAUCCAUCGGAAAUAAGACAGUUAAUAUCCCAAUCGAAUACACCCCGUCAGUUGUCAAACUCCUCGAAACGUAUUAAUCACUUUAGAAAAUUUGUUCCACUGGCGCUAGUCAGUCCCAGAGUUGGUGGUGGGUGCUUCUGGGCUUUCGAAAAGCACCCAUUUACUCCAUUGUUUAGAGAAGUAAAACCCCACCUUCCGCUCAUUUGAUUGAUCAGCUGAAUUAGGCAGAGUUUACAUGGUCAUGAUCAUAGUCUCCCAUNUUAAUAGUCUGACAGGACCUAUCCCAACAUUGCUGAGAAAUAUGAAAUAACUCCAUUACUCCAAUCUUAGAUUUGUCCUCAAAUCAACUGACAGGGGCUAUUCCACCUCUGUUAACUGCAUUGACAUUACUUUUCUCUUUAUAUUCUUUCCUUUUGUAUGUACCUAUGCUAAUUAUCUGAUUAUUAAAAUUAUAACAAAGCUUCAAGAUUUUUAACAGGUGAGCUUCCACUAAAAAUUUGCAAAGUCACUUCCCUUUCGCGUCUCAUUAUGUUAGAUAAUGGGUCAAGUGGUGCACUUCCACAGUGUUUGGGGAACCUUUCUUUGCUUGGUUUCAAUAAUCUUGCUAAUUAUCAAUUUCAAGGACCAAUACCAACGACUGUCCAAGACUUGUCUGUGCAUAUCUAAACAUCCAUAACAAUCACUUUGAAGGUUUGUUGCUCCAAUCUUUGGCAAACUGUAAACACUUACAAAUUCUUGAUAUUGGAAACAACGUUGGAGAGCUAGAUGUCCCAGUUAGGGCGGUAAUUCGACUAGAGCAAACCGAGUUUUGAGCGGAGCCAAAUUCGAGCCAAGUUUAAUCGAGUCGAGCCGAGUCGGCUCGUUUAGCUAAUCGAGCCUAAAACUUAGCCCGAACUCGACUCAUUUAAUUUCACGAGUCGAGUCGAGCCAACUCGUUUAGCUAAAUGAGCUGAUUUUAACAAGUCGAGCGAGCGAGCUCGUAUAAUUUUAACUUAGUCGAGCCUGAAUCUCUACCCAAACUAUUGGCUCGUGUAAUUUCGCGAGUCGAAUCGAGCCGGCUCGUUUUAUUAAACAAGCCGAAAUUUUUGCCCGAAUUUGCUCGUUUAACAAGCCGAUCUGAGCCUAGUUAAAUGAGUUCGAGUUAGUCGAGCUCGCGAGCUGCGAGCUCACCUGCCAGCUCUAGUCCUAGUCUUGCAAUCAAAUAGGUUUAACGGUAUAGAAAGUGGAAGGAGCACAAGGCAUCCAUUCCCCAAGGCUAUUUACCAAUUCAGUACUUUGAGGAUACAAAAUCAUUCUGCAGGUACUCUUGUAUCUGUACUUUCUUGUACUGUAUGCCACUUUGACAGUAGAGUAAAAUUUAUAUCGACAAACUGCAUAUGUUCUGAACUACUCCUCUAUCCCAAAUUAGAUGAGCUAGUUGACUUUGAGCACGUAACUUAAGGUACAUUGACCAACUAGUUCCGAUAUUUAUUUUUUUAAUUUUUCUUUUGUAAAUGAAAAUUUCAUAUUUAAAUUUUUAUUUGCAAAACUAAAAUUUAAAAAUAUGUAAUGUGGCUAUGCGGUCAAUGUCAACGAGCUCAUCUAAUUUGGGAUUGGGAUGCAGGGAGUAUUACGUACUAUGUUAUGCAAGCUGUUUACAACUUUCAUCAAAAUUUUCAAACAUUUCUGAAUAUGUAUUUUCAAAGAAUUCUCGGGCACUCUUAAGGCCUAUAAUUAUUGGAACUCUCACGUUAUGGACCAGAGGACCACUAUGUAUUUUACAAGCACGACGAAUCAUGUGGUCAUUAUGGACUCCCCAAGCCUUAGAGGACUCAUUCCAGGUUUUAGGAGGACCACUGCCUAGCUCACCCUUUCGGAGUGAUGUAAAUUAGUUUCCAGACACUAAAAAUAAGUAAUCAGAUUAAUCAUUACAAAAUUUUGAUAUAAAAUCAGAAUAAAUCCUAAACUUUGAUGAUACAAAAAAAAUUAUAAUUGUAAAUUAUACAAUCAAAUUAAGAUCGAAUUAACUUCCCUCACACUUAAAAUUUAUAGCGAUCAAAUCAAAAUCGAAUUAACUUUCCUAUUACUAAAAUUUAAUUACAAUAUUAUUAGAUAAAGAGAAUAUAUAAUAAUCAAGAGAAAAUAGAUUUUUUUUUGCCACUCAACUUAUUGUGUUUUAAGAAACUUACCACCCAACUAAAUUUUUUUCCUUUUGCUCACUAAUGUUAGGUUUGGAUUUGUUUUUAGCCACCAAAUAAGGUUCGGAUUUGAUUACCAGCAUUAUGAUAAUUUUUUUUGUCACUAAACUUAUUGCGUCUUUAGAAACUAACCACUGAACUAAAUUUUUUUUAUUUUACUCACUAAUGUUAGAUUUAGUUUUUUUUGUCACUAUAGUUAGGUUCAGAUUUGAUUAUUAGCAUUACAUUAAUUCUGUGUAGCAUUUUUAAAAUAUGGUAGUAGUCUGUGAUAUUUAGAUGAUUUGAUAUAUGUCUGUAUUUUUAUAUAUAGUAUAUUUUAUGUCCCCAAGGUCGUUUACCUUGGGUCAUAAAAAUUUUACACUCAUUUUAUGACUUUUAAAAGAUGUAGUUUCAUAAAUAAUUUUAUUUUUUUCUUUCGAAUUAAAAUUCAGCAUUUGAAUUUUACACACAAAAAAAUCGCAAGAAUAAGAUAUGAAACUAUGCUUUACAAGAGUCUUAAAAUACGUGCUAAACGGUAGAAAAAACUGUAAACUAAUGAGAGGUACAUAGGGAGUAAUAAUAACAUAAAAUGAUGCACAAUCAUCGAAUUAAGUUUUCCUCUCUCUAUAUAUUUAUUUUGUAAAUUUUAAUAAGAUAAAGUUAUUAAAAUUUAUGAUAUAAAUUUAAGAGAUAUCUUAGAUUGAGUGGCAAAAAUUUAGUUGGGUGGUAAGUUUCUAAAAACACAAUAAAUUGAGUGGGAACAAAAUCUAUUUUCCCAAUAAUGAGUGGGAAUAAAAUCUAUUUUCCCAAUAAUCAAAGUGACGAAAAAUCAAAGUCAUCUAAUAAGUCCAGAAAAAAUAUGACCAUUAGUAUAUUGAAAUAAUAUUCACGCAUUUAUAUACGAGAAUAUAUGGUCCACAAGUUAGUGCACAAUGUCCAAGAAUCUUUAUCAAAUAACACGGCAAGCAUGCAGCAUAUAAAUAAGAGUGGGCAGUAUGGUAUUGCAUUCAUAACCCACUUGAGCAGAAAUAUGGCACACUUCCUAAAGCCUUCUCACCUUCUUCUCUUUGUUUUCUUUCUCUCGUUACUUCAAUCCAUUCUACCAACAAGACCAGAGGGAGAAGCUCUUGUGAAAUGGAAGAAUAGCCUAGCCCCGUCUUCUUUUCUCGAUUCUUGGUCACUAACCAAUCUCGAUAAUCUUUGUAACUGGACUGGCAUUACUUGUAACUCUGCAGGUUCAGUCUCUGGGAUUAACCUUUAUGAGAAACAACUUGAUGGAAUGCUGUCCGAGUUUGGCUUCACUUCAUUUCCGAAUCUCAACAAUCUCACCCUCGCAUACAACUUCUUCUCGGGUCCAAUACCACCAGCCAUUGAGAAUUUAACACAGCUUCAAUAUCUUGAUUUAAGCAUCAAUAGUCUCGAUGGUCCCAUUCCUUUCCAGGUUAGCCAUCUUCAGAGGUUGCUCGUCCUAAACCUGUCACAGAAUGCAUUGCAAGCUCCAAAUUGGUCCCAUUUCUCUUCCAUGCCUUUUUUGCGCAUCCUCAAGCUCAGUAGGAAUCAUCUUGUAUCGAAAUUUCCAGAAUUUAUAUCCAAUUCUCAUAGCUUGGCUAUCCUUGACCUUGGCCAGAACAACUUUACAGGUGAUCUUGUGCGUGAAUUUACCAAUCUACAAAAUCUUGAAACCCUCUGGCUUUAUCGUAAUUCUUUUGAGGGGCCAUUUCCGCCGGAUAUAGUCCAGCUUUCCAAACUAAAAGAUCUUGCCCUGUCAAGUAACAAAUUUUCAGGUUCAGUUCCCAAUAACAUAAGGUUGCUUUGUGAUCUUGAAUACCUAUAUUUAGGCAACAAUUCCUUUAAGGGGCCACUUCCACCAAAUAUAUUUAAGCUUUCAAAAUUAAAACAUCUUGUUCUUUGGAGUAAUAAGUUUUCAGGUUCUGUUUCCAAUGAUAUAGGUUUGCUUCAUGAGCUUGUAACCCUCAAUCUUAACUCUAAUUUUUUUGAGGGGCCGCUUCCGCCAAAUGUAUUCAAGCUCUCCAAACUAAAGUUUUUUGCCCUUCAUGAGAAUAACUUUUCAGGUUUUAUUUCUAAGGAUAUAGGUUUGCUUUCCGAACUUGAAAUCCUCUAUUUUGGCUCUAAUUUUUUUGAGGGGCCGCUUCCUCCACAUGUAUUUAGGCUCUCCAAAUUAAGAGGUCUGGACCUCUCACACAAUAGAAAUUUAUUUGAAGGAAGUAUUCCUAUUGGACUGGGACUCUUGACUAACCUCAGGUACUUAGAUCUACAUUCCAAUAAUCUCGGUGGCUAUAUUCCAUCUGACAUUGGAAACCUGAAGCUACUAGUACUUCUUGAUCUCGGUUCUAAUCAAUUGACUGGACCGCUUUCAAAGAUCGUUUCUAAUCUCACAAAUCUUAUAUGUCUUGAUGUAAGUCAUAAUAGUCUUAGUGGAAAUAUUCAGAGUGACUUGUGGAAAUAUAACGAUCAUCCAACUUUGGAAUACAUCAAUUUAAGUGGGAACCAUUUUACGGGUAUAGUUUUUCUCUAUAGAUCUUUUCCUUUUCUCAUAUGUAACUAAGCUAGUAAUCUGAUUAUUGCAGUUUCACCAAAGUUUCAACAAUCUUGACAGGUGAGCUUCCAACAACAAUUUGCAAUGUCACUUCCCUUUCGGUUCUUGAUUUGUCAAAUAAUGAAUUAAGUGGUGCACUUCCAAACUCUUUGGGGAAUCUUGCUGAUGGAAUGCUUUACCUUAAUCUUGCUAAUAAUCAGUUUCGAGGAACAAUACCAACUACUUUCUCCAGGAGUUGUCGGUUGACAUAUCUAAACAUGGAUAAUAAUGAGUUUGAAGGAUUGUUGCCCCCAUCUUUGGCGAACUGUAAGCACUUGAAAAUUCUUGAUAUAGGCAAUAAUAAAAUAGGUGGUACAUUUCCGUCAUGGCUUUAUGCACUUGGAGAGCUAGAAGUUCUUGUCUUGCGAUCAAAUAAACUCUAUGGUACAAUAAGUGGAAGGAGCAUAGAAGAUCCCUUCCCCAAGUUGCGGAUUGUGGAUCUGUCCCACAAUCAAUUGACAGGCUAUUUGCCAAUUCAAUACUUUAAGAAUAUGAAAUCAACUGAUAAUUUGUAUCGUUAUCAGAAUGACACAGGAGUUUUUUCUUUCCAUUAUGAAGCAUCUGUCUCAUUAACUGUGAAGGGAACAGAGUAUGAAGUGAAAAAUAUCCUUCAUAUUUACACAACCAUUGAUCUGUCCUGCAACAAGUUUCAAGGAGAAAUUCCUGACGUUAUUGGAGAGCUUAGAUGGCUUGCAUUGCUGAACUUAUCUCAUAAUAGUCUAACAGGACAUAUCCCAUCAUUGCUGAGAAAUAUGAAAGGACUCCAAUCUUUAGAUUUGUCUUCAAAUCAACUGAAAGGGGCUAUUCCACUUCAGUUAACUGCAUUGACAUUUCUAGAGGUCUUGAACCUCUCGGGAAACCAUCUUAGUGGAGAGAUUCCUCAGAAAGGGCAGUUCAGCACAUUUAACAUUGAUUCUUAUCUAGGAAACUCCGCGUUAUGUGGUUCACCUUUGAUGAAGAAAUGUGCAAACACAGCAUCACCUCCACAAGAAGCCGGAAAUGGUGAUGAAGAUGAAGCUGGUGAUGAAUUGACAUGGGAAGCAAUCGUGAUGGGAUAUGGAUGUGGACUGAUAUGUGGAUUGUCAUCUGCAUACAUUGUUCUCAAACUAGGAAAGCCUUGGUGGUUUGUGAGAUAUAUCGAAGUACUGCAACAGAAGUUGAUGAAAAGAUAUGCAUGAAGAAAGGUACUGGUAGAUCAAGAUGAACUUGAAAGUUGUUGUCGUGGUAGACAUUUGUGAACCAGUAGUGUACUAGCUGCAUAAGUAUUUGGUAUUAUGUAAUAAUCCGUUUGGUCGGGACUCAAAAUGAUUUCUCUUGCUUCAGGGGUAUUAAUAUUAACCUUGCUAUCUUGAUCAAUGUUAGGGCAAAUUAAAAAGAAUAUAAAAGCAAAAAAUUUGCAUCAAACACCUGUUGUACCAACAUGCAUCCAUUAAUUUGCUUUCAUCUAUUAAGUAACAAUUUAAGAGCGCUUCCACUCUGUUUAAGCAUGGAGAUAACACAAAGAAGGCAAGUCCAUGGACUAAUAUAUUAACACGUAGUCCACAUCUAUGGUAUGAACAAUUCAUAUUGCUCUUCUAUCUGUUCAACAGUCUCCCGAAGAUAGGCCAAAAAUGUCAUCUGUGGUUCUUAUGUUUGUCAGUGAAGGAGAAUCUCUGAUGCCUACACAACCUGGUGUUUUUACAGAAAGGAAUGUAGGUGAAACCAGGGGCGUAAAAUGAAUCAGGACUAAAAUCUGCUAAAAUGAUAAUUAUUUACUCAUCAUUCAAGAUUAGUCGGGCUCAAAGAUUUAUAUGGAUUUUAAGAACAAACUAUGACUAAAUAUGAAAAAAUCAUUAAUUUUUCCGACUCAAUAUUUUUUAGCCUCCCCCGGCCCUGGGUGAAACCAUAAGCUUCUCUGGUGCACAUCCAAAUCAUUCAGUUGGUUCUACUUUCAGCUCACCCACAGGAACAUCAUUCUGCAGGUACUCUUUUAUCUGUACUUUCUUAUAUUGUAUGCCAGUAAAUUUUAUAUCGACAAACUGCACAAUACACCUCGAUCUCAUAUUAUUGACAGGUGAGCUCCUCUCAUAAUGCUCACAGGCGAACCCCUGCAUAUAUACUUUGUGAUGUCAUUGAUGAUCGAUAGACUUGAAAAAAAAUUAUGACAAAGAUUCAUAAAAUAUCUACUUCCAUCCUAAUUCAGUAUUCAAUAUUAUUCAUUCGUAUCAUCAUCCAAUCAAUUCUAAUAGUUCUUCUUUAAAUCAGUACAAAUAUUGUUAAAUACCUGGAUGAUGGUUGUCUUUCCGCGAACCAAUCAUGAAAUUACCUCUGUAUAAAUCCAUCGGAAAUAAGACAGUUAAUAUCCCAAUCGAAUACACCCCGUCAGUUGUCAAACUCCUCGAAACGUAUUAAUCACUUUAGAAAAUUUGUUCCACUGGCGCUAGUCAGUCCCAGAGUUGGUGGUGGGUGCUUCUGGGCUUUCGAAAAGCACCCAUUUACUCCAUUGUUUAGAGAAGUAAAACCCCACCUUCCGCUCAUUUGAUUGAUCAGCUGAAUUAGGCAGAGUUUACAUGGUCAUGAUCAUAGUCUCCCAUAUAUCCCUGAUACGCACAUUAUAGUGGAUUUAUCUUUAUCAGUGAUUUCUGUGGAGAUGCAUAAUCAUUAUAAGCUCCAAUAUAAAAUUUUAAAGUUAGUAUGGGAAUUUGUGUUGAUAAUUUGCGCAAUGUUAACAGGAUUGCUCCCAAGUCUUGGACGGACUCUUUCAAAGUCUUCUCAGGACCCAUCUGCACACUAAUUUGUCUGCCAACUAAAAAAUCAACAAUAUGUUACUCCCUCCGUUUUUCUUAAACUGAGGUUAAAAUUUUUGACACAAGAUGGGUUGACAGUAUAAAAUUAAAAUAUUUGUGAAUAAAAAUUUUGGUUAUAUUUUUUAUUUAAAAAGAAAAUCUUGAAAAUAAUAUUAUUAACUACCAGUCAGAUCACUUAAGUGUAUGUCCAAAAUUAAAGCGGCAUAUAAAAAAAAGGGAGGAAGCAUGUACUAACUGUUUCCAUAACAGUUUACAAGUAUAAGCUAUACCCCCUCUCUAUUUUUUUCUAUGACAGCUUUGAUUUUGGGCACACAUUCUUAAGUGUUUUGACCGGAUAGUUAAAAAUUUAUCUUCUAAAAUUUUUAAAAAAAGUAAAAUCGCAAAAAAAAUUAGAAAGCUGGUAUUUUUGAUAAAUUUCCAAAUAUGUAAUCAAGAAAAAUAACUUUUACUAUCCAAUCAACUCAUUUAAAGAUGUGUGUCAAAAAUCAAAAUAUCAUACAAAAAAUAGGUAUACAUUUUUUUAAUAGAUUAUACUCCCUCUGUUCCAAAAUAAGUGUCAGCUGGGGGUAAUAACAAGACCUUAGUCAACCCAAGCACAGCAGACAGCAGGCAUAAGGCAUCAGGAAUUUCACAGGACCAUUAUCUUUCUCUUAUUAACUGUGAAGGGAACAGCGUAUGAAGUAGCAAGAACCUUCAUAUUUACACAGCCAUUGAUCUGUCGUGCAACAAAUUUCAGGGAGAAAUUCCAAAGGUUACCGGAGAGCUUAGAUGGCUUGCAUUGCUCAAUUUAUCGCAUAAUUAAUAGUCUGACAGGACCUAUCCCAACAUUGCUGAGAAAUAUGAAAUAACUCCAUUACUCCAAUCUUAGAUUUGUCCUCAAAUCAACUGACAGGGGCUAUUCCACCUCUGUUAACUGCAUUGACAUUACUUUUCUCUUUAUAUUCUUUCCUUUUGUAUGUACCUAUGCUAAUUAUCUGAUUAUUAAAAUUAUAACAAAGCUUCAAGAUUUUUAACAGGUGAGCUUCCACUAAAAAUUUGCAAAGUCACUUCCCUUUCGCGUCUCAUUAUGUUAGAUAAUGGGUCAAGUGGUGCACUUCCACAGUGUUUGGGGAACCUUUCUUUGCUUGGUUUCAAUAAUCUUGCUAAUUAUCAAUUUCAAGGACCAAUACCAACGACUGUCCAAGACUUGUCUGUGCAUAUCUAAACAUCCAUAACAAUCACUUUGAAGGUUUGUUGCUCCAAUCUUUGGCAAACUGUAAACACUUACAAAUUCUUGAUAUUGGAAACAACGUUGGAGAGCUAGAUGUCCCAGUUAGGGCGGUAAUUCGACUAGAGCAAACCGAGUUUUGAGCGGAGCCAAAUUCGAGCCAAGUUUAAUCGAGUCGAGCCGAGUCGGCUCGUUUAGCUAAUCGAGCCUAAAACUUAGCCCGAACUCGACUCAUUUAAUUUCACGAGUCGAGUCGAGCCAACUCGUUUAGCUAAAUGAGCUGAUUUUAACAAGUCGAGCGAGCGAGCUCGUAUAAUUUUAACUUAGUCGAGCCUGAAUCUCUACCCAAACUAUUGGCUCGUGUAAUUUCGCGAGUCGAAUCGAGCCGGCUCGUUUUAUUAAACAAGCCGAAAUUUUUGCCCGAAUUUGCUCGUUUAACAAGCCGAUCUGAGCCUAGUUAAAUGAGUUCGAGUUAGUCGAGCUCGCGAGCUGCGAGCUCACCUGCCAGCUCUAGUCCUAGUCUUGCAAUCAAAUAGGUUUAACGGUAUAGAAAGUGGAAGGAGCACAAGGCAUCCAUUCCCCAAGGCUAUUUACCAAUUCAGUACUUUGAGGAUACAAAAUCAUUCUGCAGGUACUCUUGUAUCUGUACUUUCUUGUACUGUAUGCCACUUUGACAGUAGAGUAAAAUUUAUAUCGACAAACUGCAUAUGUUCUGAACUACUCCUCUAUCCCAAAUUAGAUGAGCUAGUUGACUUUGAGCACGUAACUUAAGGUACAUUGACCAACUAGUUCCGAUAUUUAUUUUUUUAAUUUUUCUUUUGUAAAUGAAAAUUUCAUAUUUAAAUUUUUAUUUGCAAAACUAAAAUUUAAAAAUAUGUAAUGUGGCUAUGCGGUCAAUGUCAACGAGCUCAUCUAAUUUGGGAUUGGGAUGCAGGGAGUAUUACGUACUAUGUUAUGCAAGCUGUUUACAACUUUCAUCAAAAUUUUCAAACAUUUCUGAAUAUGUAUUUUCAAAGAAUUCUCGGGCACUCUUAAGGCCUAUAAUUAUUGGAACUCUCACGUUAUGGACCAGAGGACCACUAUGUAUUUUACAAGCACGACGAAUCAUGUGGUCAUUAUGGACUCCCCAAGCCUUAGAGGACUCAUUCCAGGUUUUAGGAGGACCACUGCCUAGCUCACCCUUUCGGAGUGAUGUAAAUUAGUUUCCAGACACUAAAAAUAAGUAAUCAGAUUAAUCAUUACAAAAUUUUGAUAUAAAAUCAGAAUAAAUCCUAAACUUUGAUGAUACAAAAAAAAUUAUAAUUGUAAAUUAUACAAUCAAAUUAAGAUCGAAUUAACUUCCCUCACACUUAAAAUUUAUAGCGAUCAAAUCAAAAUCGAAUUAACUUUCCUAUUACUAAAAUUUAAUUACAAUAUUAUUAGAUAAAGAGAAUAUAUAAUAAUCAAGAGAAAAUAGAUUUUUUUUUGCCACUCAACUUAUUGUGUUUUAAGAAACUUACCACCCAACUAAAUUUUUUUCCUUUUGCUCACUAAUGUUAGGUUUGGAUUUGUUUUUAGCCACCAAAUAAGGUUCGGAUUUGAUUACCAGCAUUAUGAUAAUUUUUUUUGUCACUAAACUUAUUGCGUCUUUAGAAACUAACCACUGAACUAAAUUUUUUUUAUUUUACUCACUAAUGUUAGAUUUAGUUUUUUUUGUCACUAUAGUUAGGUUCAGAUUUGAUUAUUAGCAUUACAUUAAUUCUGUGUAGCAUUUUUAAAAUAUGGUAGUAGUCUGUGAUAUUUAGAUGAUUUGAUAUAUGUCUGUAUUUUUAUAUAUAGUAUAUUUUAUGUCCCCAAGGUCGUUUACCUUGGGUCAUAAAAAUUUUACACUCAUUUUAUGACUUUUAAAAGAUGUAGUUUCAUAAAUAAUUUUAUUUUUUUCUUUCGAAUUAAAAUUCAGCAUUUGAAUUUUACACACAAAAAAAUCGCAAGAAUAAGAUAUGAAACUAUGCUUUACAAGAGUCUUAAAAUACGUGCUAAACGGUAGAAAAAACUGUAAACUAAUGAGAGGUACAUAGGGAGUAAUAAUAACAUAAAAUGAUGCACAAUCAUCGAAUUAAGUUUUCCUCUCUCUAUAUAUUUAUUUUGUAAAUUUUAAUAAGAUAAAGUUAUUAAAAUUUAUGAUAUAAAUUUAAGAGAUAUCUUAGAUUGAGUGGCAAAAAUUUAGUUGGGUGGUAAGUUUCUAAAAACACAAUAAAUUGAGUGGGAACAAAAUCUAUUUUCCCAAUAAUGAGUGGGAAUAAAAUCUAUUUUCCCAAUAAUCAAAGUGACGAAAAAUCAAAGUCAUCUAAUAAGUCCAGAAAAAAUAUGACCAUUAGUAUAUUGAAAUAAUAUUCACGCAUUUAUAUACGAGAAUAUAUGGUCCACAAGUUAGUGCACAAUGUCCAAGAAUCUUUAUCAAAUAACACGGCAAGCAUGCAGCAUAUAAAUAAGAGUGGGCAGUAUGGUAUUGCAUUCAUAACCCACUUGAGCAGAAAUAUGGCACACUUCCUAAAGCCUUCUCACCUUCUUCUCUUUGUUUUCUUUCUCUCGUUACUUCAAUCCAUUCUACCAACAAGACCAGAGGGAGAAGCUCUUGUGAAAUGGAAGAAUAGCCUAGCCCCGUCUUCUUUUCUCGAUUCUUGGUCACUAACCAAUCUCGAUAAUCUUUGUAACUGGACUGGCAUUACUUGUAACUCUGCAGGUUCAGUCUCUGGGAUUAACCUUUAUGAGAAACAACUUGAUGGAAUGCUGUCCGAGUUUGGCUUCACUUCAUUUCCGAAUCUCAACAAUCUCACCCUCGCAUACAACUUCUUCUCGGGUCCAAUACCACCAGCCAUUGAGAAUUUAACACAGCUUCAAUAUCUUGAUUUAAGCAUCAAUAGUCUCGAUGGUCCCAUUCCUUUCCAGGUUAGCCAUCUUCAGAGGUUGCUCGUCCUAAACCUGUCACAGAAUGCAUUGCAAGCUCCAAAUUGGUCCCAUUUCUCUUCCAUGCCUUUUUUGCGCAUCCUCAAGCUCAGUAGGAAUCAUCUUGUAUCNUUUUUAUUUAAAAAGAAAAUCUUGAAAAUAAUAUUAUUAACUACCAGUCAGAUCACUUAAGUGUAUGUCCAAAAUUAAAGCGGCAUAUAAAAAAAAGGGAGGAAGCAUGUACUAACUGUUUCCAUAACAGUUUACAAGUAUAAGCUAUACCCCCUCUCUAUUUUUUUCUAUGACAGCUUUGAUUUUGGGCACACAUUCUUAAGUGUUUUGACCGGAUAGUUAAAAAUUUAUCUUCUAAAAUUUUUAAAAAAAGUAAAAUCGCAAAAAAAAUUAGAAAGCUGGUAUUUUUGAUAAAUUUCCAAAUAUGUAAUCAAGAAAAAUAACUUUUACUAUCCAAUCAACUCAUUUAAAGAUGUGUGUCAAAAAUCAAAAUAUCAUACAAAAAAUAGGUAUACAUUUUUUUAAUAGAUUAUACUCCCUCUGUUCCAAAAUAAGUGUCAGCUGGGGGUAAUAACAAGACCUUAGUCAACCCAAGCACAGCAGACAGCAGGCAUAAGGCAUCAGGAAUUUCACAGGACCAUUAUCUUUCUCUUAUUAACUGUGAAGGGAACAGCGUAUGAAGUAGCAAGAACCUUCAUAUUUACACAGCCAUUGAUCUGUCGUGCAACAAAUUUCAGGGAGAAAUUCCAAAGGUUACCGGAGAGCUUAGAUGGCUUGCAUUGCUCAAUUUAUCGCAUAAUUAAUAGUCUGACAGGACCUAUCCCAACAUUGCUGAGAAAUAUGAAAUAACUCCAUUACUCCAAUCUUAGAUUUGUCCUCAAAUCAACUGACAGGGGCUAUUCCACCUCUGUUAACUGCAUUGACAUUACUUUUCUCUUUAUAUUCUUUCCUUUUGUAUGUACCUAUGCUAAUUAUCUGAUUAUUAAAAUUAUAACAAAGCUUCAAGAUUUUUAACAGGUGAGCUUCCACUAAAAAUUUGCAAAGUCACUUCCCUUUCGCGUCUCAUUAUGUUAGAUAAUGGGUCAAGUGGUGCACUUCCACAGUGUUUGGGGAACCUUUCUUUGCUUGGUUUCAAUAAUCUUGCUAAUUAUCAAUUUCAAGGACCAAUACCAACGACUGUCCAAGACUUGUCUGUGCAUAUCUAAACAUCCAUAACAAUCACUUUGAAGGUUUGUUGCUCCAAUCUUUGGCAAACUGUAAACACUUACAAAUUCUUGAUAUUGGAAACAACGUUGGAGAGCUAGAUGUCCCAGUUAGGGCGGUAAUUCGACUAGAGCAAACCGAGUUUUGAGCGGAGCCAAAUUCGAGCCAAGUUUAAUCGAGUCGAGCCGAGUCGGCUCGUUUAGCUAAUCGAGCCUAAAACUUAGCCCGAACUCGACUCAUUUAAUUUCACGAGUCGAGUCGAGCCAACUCGUUUAGCUAAAUGAGCUGAUUUUAACAAGUCGAGCGAGCGAGCUCGUAUAAUUUUAACUUAGUCGAGCCUGAAUCUCUACCCAAACUAUUGGCUCGUGUAAUUUCGCGAGUCGAAUCGAGCCGGCUCGUUUUAUUAAACAAGCCGAAAUUUUUGCCCGAAUUUGCUCGUUUAACAAGCCGAUCUGAGCCUAGUUAAAUGAGUUCGAGUUAGUCGAGCUCGCGAGCUGCGAGCUCACCUGCCAGCUCUAGUCCUAGUCUUGCAAUCAAAUAGGUUUAACGGUAUAGAAAGUGGAAGGAGCACAAGGCAUCCAUUCCCCAAGGCUAUUUACCAAUUCAGUACUUUGAGGAUACAAAAUCAUUCUGCAGGUACUCUUGUAUCUGUACUUUCUUGUACUGUAUGCCACUUUGACAGUAGAGUAAAAUUUAUAUCGACAAACUGCAUAUGUUCUGAACUACUCCUCUAUCCCAAAUUAGAUGAGCUAGUUGACUUUGAGCACGUAACUUAAGGUACAUUGACCAACUAGUUCCGAUAUUUAUUUUUUUAAUUUUUCUUUUGUAAAUGAAAAUUUCAUAUUUAAAUUUUUAUUUGCAAAACUAAAAUUUAAAAAUAUGUAAUGUGGCUAUGCGGUCAAUGUCAACGAGCUCAUCUAAUUUGGGAUUGGGAUGCAGGGAGUAUUACGUACUAUGUUAUGCAAGCUGUUUACAACUUUCAUCAAAAUUUUCAAACAUUUCUGAAUAUGUAUUUUCAAAGAAUUCUCGGGCACUCUUAAGGCCUAUAAUUAUUGGAACUCUCACGUUAUGGACCAGAGGACCACUAUGUAUUUUACAAGCACGACGAAUCAUGUGGUCAUUAUGGACUCCCCAAGCCUUAGAGGACUCAUUCCAGGUUUUAGGAGGACCACUGCCUAGCUCACCCUUUCGGAGUGAUGUAAAUUAGUUUCCAGACACUAAAAAUAAGUAAUCAGAUUAAUCAUUACAAAAUUUUGAUAUAAAAUCAGAAUAAAUCCUAAACUUUGAUGAUACAAAAAAAAUUAUAAUUGUAAAUUAUACAAUCAAAUUAAGAUCGAAUUAACUUCCCUCACACUUAAAAUUUAUAGCGAUCAAAUCAAAAUCGAAUUAACUUUCCUAUUACUAAAAUUUAAUUACAAUAUUAUUAGAUAAAGAGAAUAUAUAAUAAUCAAGAGAAAAUAGAUUUUUUUUUGCCACUCAACUUAUUGUGUUUUAAGAAACUUACCACCCAACUAAAUUUUUUUCCUUUUGCUCACUAAUGUUAGGUUUGGAUUUGUUUUUAGCCACCAAAUAAGGUUCGGAUUUGAUUACCAGCAUUAUGAUAAUUUUUUUUGUCACUAAACUUAUUGCGUCUUUAGAAACUAACCACUGAACUAAAUUUUUUUUAUUUUACUCACUAAUGUUAGAUUUAGUUUUUUUUGUCACUAUAGUUAGGUUCAGAUUUGAUUAUUAGCAUUACAUUAAUUCUGUGUAGCAUUUUUAAAAUAUGGUAGUAGUCUGUGAUAUUUAGAUGAUUUGAUAUAUGUCUGUAUUUUUAUAUAUAGUAUAUUUUAUGUCCCCAAGGUCGUUUACCUUGGGUCAUAAAAAUUUUACACUCAUUUUAUGACUUUUAAAAGAUGUAGUUUCAUAAAUAAUUUUAUUUUUUUCUUUCGAAUUAAAAUUCAGCAUUUGAAUUUUACACACAAAAAAAUCGCAAGAAUAAGAUAUGAAACUAUGCUUUACAAGAGUCUUAAAAUACGUGCUAAACGGUAGAAAAAACUGUAAACUAAUGAGAGGUACAUAGGGAGUAAUAAUAACAUAAAAUGAUGCACAAUCAUCGAAUUAAGUUUUCCUCUCUCUAUAUAUUUAUUUUGUAAAUUUUAAUAAGAUAAAGUUAUUAAAAUUUAUGAUAUAAAUUUAAGAGAUAUCUUAGAUUGAGUGGCAAAAAUUUAGUUGGGUGGUAAGUUUCUAAAAACACAAUAAAUUGAGUGGGAACAAAAUCUAUUUUCCCAAUAAUGAGUGGGAAUAAAAUCUAUUUUCCCAAUAAUCAAAGUGACGAAAAAUCAAAGUCAUCUAAUAAGUCCAGAAAAAAUAUGACCAUUAGUAUAUUGAAAUAAUAUUCACGCAUUUAUAUACGAGAAUAUAUGGUCCACAAGUUAGUGCACAAUGUCCAAGAAUCUUUAUCAAAUAACACGGCAAGCAUGCAGCAUAUAAAUAAGAGUGGGCAGUAUGGUAUUGCAUUCAUAACCCACUUGAGCAGAAAUAUGGCACACUUCCUAAAGCCUUCUCACCUUCUUCUCUUUGUUUUCUUUCUCUCGUUACUUCAAUCCAUUCUACCAACAAGACCAGAGGGAGAAGCUCUUGUGAAAUGGAAGAAUAGCCUAGCCCCGUCUUCUUUUCUCGAUUCUUGGUCACUAACCAAUCUCGAUAAUCUUUGUAACUGGACUGGCAUUACUUGUAACUCUGCAGGUUCAGUCUCUGGGAUUAACCUUUAUGAGAAACAACUUGAUGGAAUGCUGUCCGAGUUUGGCUUCACUUCAUUUCCGAAUCUCAACAAUCUCACCCUCGCAUACAACUUCUUCUCGGGUCCAAUACCACCAGCCAUUGAGAAUUUAACACAGCUUCAAUAUCUUGAUUUAAGCAUCAAUAGUCUCGAUGGUCCCAUUCCUUUCCAGGUUAGCCAUCUUCAGAGGUUGCUCGUCCUAAACCUGUCACAGAAUGCAUUGCAAGCUCCAAAUUGGUCCCAUUUCUCUUCCAUGCCUUUUUUGCGCAUCCUCAAGCUCAGUAGGAAUCAUCUUGUAUCGAAAUUUCCAGAAUUUAUAUCCAAUUCUCAUAGCUUGGCUAUCCUUGACCUUGGCCAGAACAACUUUACAGGUGAUCUUGUGCGUGAAUUUACCAAUCUACAAAAUCUUGAAACCCUCUGGCUUUAUCGUAAUUCUUUUGAGGGGCCAUUUCCGCCGGAUAUAGUCCAGCUUUCCAAACUAAAAGAUCUUGCCCUGUCAAGUAACAAAUUUUCAGGUUCAGUUCCCAAUAACAUAAGGUUGCUUUGUGAUCUUGAAUACCUAUAUUUAGGCAACAAUUCCUUUAAGGGGCCACUUCCACCAAAUAUAUUUAAGCUUUCAAAAUUAAAACAUCUUGUUCUUUGGAGUAAUAAGUUUUCAGGUUCUGUUUCCAAUGAUAUAGGUUUGCUUCAUGAGCUUGUAACCCUCAAUCUUAACUCUAAUUUUUUUGAGGGGCCGCUUCCGCCAAAUGUAUUCAAGCUCUCCAAACUAAAGUUUUUUGCCCUUCAUGAGAAUAACUUUUCAGGUUUUAUUUCUAAGGAUAUAGGUUUGCUUUCCGAACUUGAAAUCCUCUAUUUUGGCUCUAAUUUUUUUGAGGGGCCGCUUCCUCCACAUGUAUUUAGGCUCUCCAAAUUAAGAGGUCUGGACCUCUCACACAAUAGAAAUUUAUUUGAAGGAAGUAUUCCUAUUGGACUGGGACUCUUGACUAACCUCAGGUACUUAGAUCUACAUUCCAAUAAUCUCGGUGGCUAUAUUCCAUCUGACAUUGGAAACCUGAAGCUACUAGUACUUCUUGAUCUCGGUUCUAAUCAAUUGACUGGACCGCUUUCAAAGAUCGUUUCUAAUCUCACAAAUCUUAUAUGUCUUGAUGUAAGUCAUAAUAGUCUUAGUGGAAAUAUUCAGAGUGACUUGUGGAAAUAUAACGAUCAUCCAACUUUGGAAUACAUCAAUUUAAGUGGGAACCAUUUUACGGGUAUAGUUUUUCUCUAUAGAUCUUUUCCUUUUCUCAUAUGUAACUAAGCUAGUAAUCUGAUUAUUGCAGUUUCACCAAAGUUUCAACAAUCUUGACAGGUGAGCUUCCAACAACAAUUUGCAAUGUCACUUCCCUUUCGGUUCUUGAUUUGUCAAAUAAUGAAUUAAGUGGUGCACUUCCAAACUCUUUGGGGAAUCUUGCUGAUGGAAUGCUUUACCUUAAUCUUGCUAAUAAUCAGUUUCGAGGAACAAUACCAACUACUUUCUCCAGGAGUUGUCGGUUGACAUAUCUAAACAUGGAUAAUAAUGAGUUUGAAGGAUUGUUGCCCCCAUCUUUGGCGAACUGUAAGCACUUGAAAAUUCUUGAUAUAGGCAAUAAUAAAAUAGGUGGUACAUUUCCGUCAUGGCUUUAUGCACUUGGAGAGCUAGAAGUUCUUGUCUUGCGAUCAAAUAAACUCUAUGGUACGAUAAGUGGAAGGAGCAUAGAAGAUCCCUUCCCCAAGUUGCGGAUUGUGGAUCUGUCCCACAAUCAAUUGACAGGCUAUUUGCCAAUUCAAUACUUUAAGAAUAUGAAAUCAACUGAUAAUUUGUAUCGUUAUCGGAAUUCCACAGGACCAUUAUCUUUCUCUUAUGAAGCAGCAGUCUCAUUAACUGUGAAGGGAACAGAGUACGAGGUAGCAAAGAACCUUCAUAUUUACACAGCCAUUGACCUGUCGUGCAACAAAUUUCAGGGAGAAAUUCCAAAGGUUACUGGAGAGCUUAGAUGGCUUGCAUUGCUGAAUUUAUCUCAUAAUAGUCUGACAGGACCUAUCCCAUCCUUGCUGAAAAAUAUGAAAGAACUCCAAUCUUUAGAUUUGUCCUCAAAUCAACUGACAGGGGCUAUUCCACCUCAGUUAACUGCAUUGACAUUUCUGGAGGUCUUCAACCUCUCGGGAAACCAUCUUAGUGGAGAGAUUCCUCAGAAAGGGCAGUUCAGCACAUUUAACAAUGAUUCUUAUCUAGGAAACUCCGCGUUAUGUGGAUCACCUUUGACAAAGAAAUGUGCAAACACAGCAUCACCUCCACAAGAAGUCGGAAAUGGUGAUGAAGAUGAUGCUGGUGAUGAAUGGACAUGGGAAGCAAUCGUGAUGGGAUAUGGAUGUGGACUGAUAUGUGGAUUGUCAUCUGCGUACAUUGUUCUCAAACUAGGAAAGCCUUGGUGGUUUGUGAGAUAUAUCGAAGUGCUGCAACUGAAGUUGAUGAAAAGAUAUGCUUGAAAAAUUGUACUGGCCGAUCAAGACGAACUUGAAAGUUGUUGUCCUUGUGGACAUUUCUGAACCAGUAGUGUACUAGCUGCAUAAGUAUUUGGUAUUAUGUAAUAAUCCGUUUGGUCAGGACUCAUAAUGAUUUCUCUUGCUUCAGGGGUAUUAAUAUUAACCUUGCUAGUUAAUUCAAAUUAAAACAAAUAUAAAAUCAAAAAAUUUGCAUCAAACACCUGUUAUACCAACAUCCAUUAAUUUGCUUUCAUCUCUUACGUAACAAUUUAACAGCGAUUCCACACUGUUUUAGGCAUGGAGAUUACACAAAGAAGGCAAGUCCAUGAACUAAUAUAUUAACCCGUAGUCCACAUCUAUGCUACGAACAAUUCAUAUUGGUCUUCCAUCUAUUCAACCGUCUCCCGAAGAUAGGCCAAAAAUGUCAUCUGUGGUUCUUAUCUUUGUCAGUAAAGGAGAAUCUCUGAUGCCUAUACAACCUGGUUUUCUUACAGAAAGGAAUGUAGGUGAAACCAGGGGCAUAAAAUGAAUCGGGACUAAAAUCUGCUAAAAUGAUAAUUAUUUACUCAUCAUUCGAGAUUAGUCGGGCUCAAAUGAAGAUUUAUAUGGAUUUUAAGAACAAACUAUGACUAAAUAUGAAAACUAGACAACCUGGUUUUCUUACAGAAAGGAAUGUAGGUGAAACCAGGGGCGUAAAAUGAAUCGGGACUAAAAUCUGCUAAAAUGAUAGUAAUUAUUUACUCAUCAUUCAAGAUUAGUCGGGCUCAAAUGAAGAUUUAUAUGGAUUUUUAAGAACAAACUAUGACUAAAUAUGAAAAAAAUCAUUAAUUUUUCCGACUCAAUAUUUUUUAGCCUCCCCCGGCCCUGGGUGAAACCAUAAGCUUCUCUGGUGCACAUCCAAAUCAUUCAGCUGGUUCUGCAGGUACUCUUCUAUCUGUACUUUCUUAUAUUGUUUGCCAGUACAUUUUAUAUCGACAAACUGCACAAUACACCUCGAUCUCAUACACAGGUGAACUCCUGCAUAUGCUUUGUGAUGUCAUUGAUGAUCGAUAGACUUGAAAAAAAAUUAUGACAAAGAUUCAUAAAAUAUCUACUUCCAUCCUAAUUCAGUAUUCAAUAUUAUUCAUCCCGUAUCAUCAUCCAAUCAAUUCUAAUAGUUCUUCUUUAAAUCAGUACAAAUAUUGUUAAAUACCUCGAUGAUGGUUGUCUUCCCGUGAACCAAUCAUAAAAUUACCUCUGUAUAAAUCCAUCGGAAAUAAGACAGUUAAUAUCCCAAUCGAAUACACCCCGUCAGUUGUCAAACUCCUCGAAACGUAUUAAUCACUUUAGAAAAUUUGUUCCACUGGCGCUAGUCAGUCCCAGAGUUGGUGGUGGGUGCUUCUGGGCUUUCGAAAAACACCCAUUUACUCCAUUGUUUAGAGAAGUAAAACCCCACCUUCCGCUCAUUUGAUUGAUCAGCUGAAUUAGGCAGAGUUUACAUGGUCAUGAUCAUAGUCUCCCAUUUCCCAGAUACGCGAAUUAUAGUGGAUUUAUCUUUAUCAGUAAUUUCUGUGGAGAUGCAUAAUCAUUAUAAGCUCCAAUAUAAAAAUUUAAAGUUAGUAUGGGCAUUUGUGUUGAUAAUUUGCGCAAUGUUAACAGGAUUGCUCCCAAGUCUUGGACGGACUCUUUCAAAGUCUUCUCAGGACCCAUCUGCACACUGAUUUGUCUGCCAACUAAAAAAUCAACAAUAUGUUACUCACUCCGUUUUUCUUAAACGAGGUUAAAAUUUUUGACACAAGAUGGGUUGACAGUAUAAUAAAAUUAACAUUUUUGUGAAUAAAAAUUUUGGUUGUAUUAUUUUAUUUAGAAAAAGAAAAUCUUGAAAAUAAUAUUAUUAACUACCCAGUCAAAUCACUUAAAAGUAUAUGUCCAAAAUUAAAGCGGCAUAUAAAAAAACCGAGAGAGAGUAUGUACUAACCUGUUUCCAUAACAGUUUACAAGUAUAAGUUAUACUCCCUCUCUAUUUUUUUAUAUGACGCUUUGAUUUUGGGCACAUAUUUUUAAGUGUUUUGACCGGAUAAUUAAAAAUAUUAUUUUCUAAAAUUUUUAAAAGAAAGUAAAAUUGAAAAAAAAAUAGAAAGCUGGUAUUUUUGAUAAAUUUCCAAACAUAAUCAAGAACAAUAAUUUUUACUAUCCAAUCAACUCAUUUACAGAUGUGUGUCAAAAAUCAAAAUAUCAUAUAAAAAACAACAAUAUGUUACUCCCUCCGUUUUUCUUAAACUGAGGUUAAAAUUUUUGACACAAGAUGGGUUGACAGUAUAAAAUUAAAAUUUUUGUGAAUAAAAAUUUUGGUUAUAUUUUUUAUUUAAAAAGAAAAUCUUGAAAAUAAUAUUAUUAACUACCAGUCAGAUCACUUAAGUGUAUGUCCAAAAUUAAAGCGGCAUAUAAAAAAAAGGGAGGAAGCAUGUACUAACUGUUUCCAUAACAGUUUACAAGUACAAGUUAUACUCCCUCUCUAUUUUUUCUAUGACGCUUUGAUUUUGGGCACACAUUCUUAAGUGUUUUGACCGGAUAGUUAAAAAUUUAUCUUCUAAAAUUUUUAAAAAGAAGUAAAAUCGCAAAAAAAAUUAGAAAGCUGGUAUUUUUGAUAAAUUUCCAAAUAUGUAAUCAAGAACAAUAACUUUUACUAUCCAAUCAACUCAUUUAAAGAUGUGUGUCAAAAAUCAAAAUAUCAUACAAAAAAUAGGUAUACAUUUUUUUUAAUAGAUUAUACUCCCUCUGUUCCAAAAUAAUUGUCAGCUGUGACAUUUUGCAAAAGUAGCUGGGGGGUAAUAACAAGACCUUAGUCAACCCAAGCACAGCAGACAGCAGGCAUAAGGCAUCAGGAAUUUCACAGCACCAUUAUCUUUCUCUUAUUAACUGUGAAGGGAACAGAGUAUGAAGUAGCAAGAACCUUCAUAUUUACACAGCCAUUGAUCUGUCGUGCAACGAAUUUCAGGGAGAAAUUUCAAAGGUUACUGGAGAGCUUAGAUGGCUUGCAUUGCUCAAUUUAUCUCAUAAUAGUCUCACAGGACCUAUCCCAUCAUUGCUGAGAAAAAUGAAAGAACUCCAAUCUUUAGAUUUGUCCUCAAAUCAACUGACAGGGGCUAUUCCACCUCAGUUAACUGCAUUGACAUUACUUUUCUCUUUAUAUCCUUUCCUUUUGUAUGUACCUAUGCUAAUUAUCUGAUUAUCAAAAUUAUAACAAAGCUUCAAGAUUUUUAACAGGUGAGCUUCCACUAAAAAUUUGCAAAGUCACUUCCCUUUCGCGUCUCAUUAUGUCAGAUAAUGGGUCAAGUGGUGCACAUCCACAGUGUUUGGGGAACCUUUCUUUGCUUGGUUUCAAUAAUCUUGCUAAUUAUCAAUUUCAAGGACCAAUACCAACGACUGUCCAAGACUUGUCUGUGCAUAUCUAAACAUCCAUAACAAUCACUUUGAAGGUUUGUUGCUGCAAUCUUUGACAAACUGUAAACACUUACAAAUUCUUGAUAUUGGAAACAACAAAAUAGGUGGUACAUUUCGGUCAUGGCUAUUUAUUUUGGAGAGCUAGAUGUCCUAGUUAGGGCGGUAAUUCAACUAGAGCAAACCGAGUUUUGAGCGGAGCCAAAUUCGAGCCAAGUUUAAUCGAGUCAAGCCGAGUCGGCUCGUUUAGCUAAUCGAGCCUAAAACUCUGCCCGAACUCGACUCGUUUAAUUUCACGAACGAGUCAAGCGAGUGAGCUCGUAUAAUUUUAACUUAAUCGAGCCUAAAUCUCUACCCGAACUAUUGGCUCGUGUAAUUUCGCGAGUAGAAUCGAGCCGGCUCGUUUUAUUAUAGAAGCCGAAAUUUUUGCCCGAAUUUGGCUUGUUUAACAAGCCGAUCUUUCAUCAAAAAUUUCAAACAUUUCUGAAUAUGUAUUUUCAGAGAAUUUCUCCAGCACUCUUAAGGCCUAUAAUUAUUGCAACUCUCACGUUAUGGACCACUGUGUAUUUUACAAGCACGACGAAUCAUGUUGUCAUUAUGGACUCCCCAAGCCUUAGAGGACUCAUUCCAGGUCUUAGGAGGACCACUGCCUAGCUCACCCUUUCGGAGUGAUGUAAAUUAUUUUCCAAACAUUAAAAAUAAAUAAUCAGAUUAAUCAAUACAAAAUUAAAGAUAUAAAAUCAGAAUAAAUCCUAAACUUUGAAUAUACAAAAAAAAUUAUAAUUGUAAAUUAUACAAUCAAAUUAAAAUUGAAUUAACUUCCCUCACACUUAAAAUUUAUAGCGAUCAAAUCAAAAUCGAAUUAACUUUCCUAUUACUAAAAUUUAGUUACAAUAUUAUUAGAUAAAGAGAAUAUAUAAUAAUCAAGGGAAAAUAGAUUUUUUUUUUUUGCCACUCAACUUAUUGUUUUUUAAGAAACUUACCACCCAACUAAUUAUUUUUUCCUUUUGCUCACUAAUGUUAGGUUUGGAUUUGUUUUUAGCCACCAACUAAGGUUCGGAUUUGAUUACUAGCAUUAUGAUAAUUUUUUUUGUCACUAAACUUAUUGUGUCUUUAGAAACUAACCACUCAACUAAUUUUUUUUUAAUUUACUCACUAAUGUUAGGUUCAGUUUUUUUUUGUCACUGAAGUUAGGUUCGGAUUUGAUUAUUAGCAUUACAUUAAUUCUGUGUAGCAUUUUUAAAAUAUGGCUCAUAAGAAUUUUACACGCAUUUUAUGACUUUUAAAAGAUGUAGUUUCAUUAAUAAUUUUAUUUUUUUCUUCCGAAUUAAAAUUUAGCGUUUGAAUUUUACACACAAAAAAUCGAAAGAAUAAGUUAUGAAAGUAUGCUUUAUAAGAGUCUUAAAAUACGUGCUAAACGGUAGAAAAAACUGUACACUAAUGACAGGUAAAUAGGGAGUAAUAAUAACAUAAAAUGAUGCACAAUCAUCGAAUUAAGUUUUCCUCUCUCUAUAUAUUUAUUUUGAAAAUUUUAAUAAGAUAAAGUUAUUAAAAUUUAUGAUAUAAAUUUAAGAGAUAUCUUAGAUUGAGUGGCAAAAAUUUAGUUGGGUGAUAAAUUUCUAAAAACACAAUAAAUUGAAUGGGAACAAAAUCUAUUUUCCCGAUAAUCAAAGUGACGAAAAAUCAAAGUCAUCUAAUAAGUCCAGAAAAAAUAUGACCAUUAGUAUAUCGGAAUAAUAUUCACACAUUUAUAUACGAGAAUAUAUGGUCCACAAGUUAGUGCACAAUGUCCAAGAAUCUUUAUUAAAGUAACACGGCAAGCAUGCAGCAUAUAAAUAAGAGUGGGCACUGGGCAGUAUGGUAUUGCAUUCAUAACCCACUUGAGGAGAAAUAUGGCACACUUCCUAAAGCCUUCUCACCUUCUUCUCUUUGUUUUCUUUCUCUCGUUACUUCAAUCCAUUCUACUAACAAGACCAGAGGGAGAAGCUCUUGUGAAAUGGAAGAAUAGCCUUGCCCCUUCUUCUUUUCUCGAUUCUUGGUCACUCACCAAUCUCGAUGAUCUUUGUAACUGGACUGGCAUUACUUGUAACUCUGCAGGUUCAGUCUCUGAGAUUAACCUUUAUGAGAAACAACUUGAUGGAAUGCUGUCCGAGUUUAGUUUCACUUCAUUUCCAAAUCUUAACAGUCUCACUCUCGCAUACAACUUCUUCUCGGGUCCAAUACCACCAGCCAUUGAGAAUUUAACACAGCUUCAAUAUCUUGAUUUAAGCAUCAAUAGUCUCGAUGGUCUCAUUCCGUUCCAGGUUAGCCAUCUUCAGAGGUUGCUCGUCUUAAACCUGUCACAGAAUGCAUUGCAAGCUCCAAAUUGGUCCCAAUUCUCUCCCAUGCCCUUUUUGUGCAGCCUCAACCUCAGUAGCAAUCCUCUUGCGUCGAAAUUCCCAAAUUUCAUAUCCAAUUCUCAUGGCCUGACUCACCUUAGCCUUGAUCAAAACGAGUUUACAGGUGAUUUAGCGCGUGAAUCAAUAUUUGCCAAUCUGCAUAAUCUUGAAGUCCUCAGUCUUGUUGGCAAUUCUUUUGAGGGGCCAUUUCUGCCAAAUAUAUUCAAGCUUUCCAAAUUAAAACGUCUCACCCUGUCAAGUAACAAAUUUUUAGGAUCAAUUCCCAAUGACAUAAGGUUGCUUUGUGAUCUUGAAUUCCUGUAUUUAGGAAACAAUUCUUUUGAAGGACCGCUUCCACCAAAUAUAUUCAAGCUUUCAAAAUUAAAACAUCUUGUUCUUUGGAGUAAUAAGUUUUCAGGUUCUGUUUCCAAUGAUAUAGGUUUGCUUUCUGCGCUUGAACUUUUGAAUCUUCACUCUAAUUUUUUUGAGGGGCCGCUUCCGCCAAAUGUAUUCAAGCUCUCUAAACUAAGGUUUCUUAACCUCUGGGGUAACAACUUUUCAGGUUCUGUUUCCAAUGAUAUAGGUUUGCUUCCGGAGCUAGAAAUCCUCAAUCUUCACUCUAAUUUUUUUGAGGGCCGCUUCCGCCAAAUAUAUUCAAGCUCUCUAAACUAAGGUUUCUUAACCUUUGGGGUAAUAACUUUUCAGGUUCUGUUUCCAAUGAUAUAGGUUUGCUUCCUGAGCUAGAAUUCCUCAAUCUUCACUCUAAUUUUUUUGAGGGUCCGCUUCCGCCAAAUGUAUUCAAGCUCUCUAAACUAAAGUUUCUUCAUCUUCGAGGUAAUAAGUUUUCAGGUUCUGUUUCCAAUGAUAUAGGUUUGCUUCCUGAGCUUGAAAUCCUCAAUCUUCGCUCUAAUUUUUUUGAGGGGCCGCUUCCGCCAAAUGUAUUCAAGCUCUCCAAACUAAGGUUUCUUUCCCUUAAGGAAAAUAAAUUUUCAGGUUCUGUUUCCAAUGAUAUAGGUUUCCUUUCUGAGCUUGAAUACCUAUAUCUUGACUAUAAUUUAUUUGAAGGAAGUAUUCCUAUUGGACUGGGACUCUUGACUAACCUCAGCUACUUAGAUCUAAGUUCCAAUAAUCUCAGUGGCUAUAUUCCAUCUGACAUUGGAAACCUGAAGCUACUAGUAUUUCUUGAUCUCAGUUCUAACCAAUUGACUGGACCGCUUUUAAAGAUCGUUUCUAAUCUCACAAAUCUUAUGAAUCUUGAUGUAAGUGAUAAUAGUCUUAGUGGAAAUAUUCAGAGUGACUUGUGGAAGAACUCUAUAUCCUUACGUUACAUUAAUUUUGCAAAUAAUUAUUUGUCUGGGAACAUUCCUAAGGAAUACAACGAUCAUCCAACUUUGGAAUACAUCAAUUUAAGUGGGAACCAUUUUACAGGUAUAUUUUUCUCUAUAUAUCUUUUCCUUUUCUCAUAUGUAACUAAGCUGGUAAUCUGAUUAUUGCAGUUUUACCAAAGUUUCAACAAUCUUGACAGGUGAGCUUCCAACAACAAUUUGCAAUGUCACUUCCCUUGCGGUUCUUGUUUUGUCAAAUAAUGGAUUAAGUGGAGCACUUCCAAAUUGUUUCGGGAAACUUGCUGAUAGAUUGCUUUCCAUUAAUCUUGCUAAUAAUCAGUUUCGAGGAACAAUACCAACUACUUUCUCCAGGAGUUGUCAGGUGAAAUAUCUAAACAUGGAUAAUAAUGAGUUUGAAGGAUUCUUGCCCCCAUCUUUGGCGAACUGUAAGCACUUGAAAAUUCUUGAUAUUGGCAAUAACAAAAUAGGUGGUCCAUUUCCGUCAUGGCUUUAUGUACUUGGAGAGAUAGAAGUCCUUGUCUUGCGAUUAAAUAAACUCUAUGGUACAAUAAGUGGAAGGAGCGUAAAAGAUCCCUUCCCCAAGUUGCGGAUUGUGGAUCAAUAGACAUCGGCUAAAAAGCGAUGUCUAUGUAAAAUCAGACCGAUGUCUUCGUGGGUGAUGAGAAAAGUAAGUGCAUUACACAUCGCUUUCUAGCCGAUGUCUAUAACCUAUUUACACAUCGUUUAAUAUGACAAUCUGAUGUAUUUUUUAACAGUAGAUACCUUCACUAUAAUUUCAGUUCCUCAUUCCUAUGCCCUCUAUAUCAUUUUAAACUUGUCACAUGCUUAAUAAAAUGAUACUUUAACAUCUUAAAACUUGUAAAAUAGAUGUAUAUGAUAACCUUUUACAUCAUGCUUUUAUAGGAAGUGAUGUGGUACCCUUCUUUUCUUUAAGAAAGCGAUGUCUUUGUUCUUGUUUUACAUCAGUGAUUUUUAUACUCUGAUAUCUAUUAUAUAGUUUAACAUCAGGCUUUUUCUUGUUAACUGAUAUGUAUUCAUUCUUAUGACAUCGCUUACUAAGUGAUGUAAAUGUUAGUUUUAAAUUGCCAUGAAUCCUCCUGUUUCUUAUGAAUCCCCCUGUUUCAUUUAAAUUUCCAACAAAUUCCAAAACAACACCAAAGCUAUACUAAUUAAACAACCAAUUACCAAUGUCUAGCCUACCAUAACAGAACUAAAACAAAACUAGCUAGCAAAACAAUACUUCCGCAAAAGCCAAAUAUAUUACCAUCAAUCAUUACCAAUCAAAUUACAUCCCACAAUCAAAGAAACUGCACAAAUCCUAAAUAUUAACCAAGCAACCAUAAUUUACAAGCAGUUCACCACGUACUCCAGCAACCAUAAUUUACCAACUACAUUUCCCUCCAUUUAUCAACAAAAUCUACUUAGCUAGCUAGUGUCACUGUCUUACAUAAACUGAACUAAUUAAAGGAAACCAAAGUUCUCCAAUAAACCAAAGGCCUGUUUAUAAGAAGGACUCGAUAUGGCUAAGUGUCUCAAACCGAACCUCGUCAAGCUCAGCCUUGGAACAAAUCACUUUUCGAUUCUUGGAUGCCCACUGAAAAAUGUAAAACAAUAACAUUGAAUUAUACCUAAAUUUAUAUGUACACCAUUUAAUUAUAUCAACAAUGGAUUAGGCAAAGAAAAAUACCCUUUUAAAAAAUGUCAUUUCAUUGUCCAUGACAAUCUCUUUCAUAUACCGCAUAAUAACAUAGCCGCAUUCAGUUCCACCGGGCUGUUUAGGACAUCCCUAUUUAACCAAAAAAAACUCAAAAUAGUAAGUAAAGUAAUGCCCCUGGUUCUAAGCAUCAGUAGCACAAAUUGUUAAAAAUAAAUACGAAAGCUUACUGUAAUAUAUUUGAAGCUUGGGGCUUUAUUUCCCCUUCCGGCCUGAACAUUGAAAGUAAUCACAGCCCUGUCAUCUUGGCAGUGUUAAUAAUGCACAUGCAUUUAUAUCUCCAUAAGAAAGAUAAUCAAUAAAAAAAUAAAUGAAAAUACCUUGAUAUUGCUUUUUCCAAGUUGGGGAAACUAGUUGAACGAGGCAGAGGAUUAAGUAUGAAAACCUCGCCACCCCAAAACAGAACCAAUACCCAAUGGAAACUAUUUUUAACAAAUAUUUAUGAAAAACACAAUUACUAUCAAAAUCAUAUAAAUUUUAUUUUCAGUCAUGUAAAAAACUAAAUAAAAGAGAUUUAUAAUAAAUAAGAAAACACUUAAGCUACUUACUUGCUAUUAUGCGGCAUCAAAAAGAGACGAUCAGGAUUACCCUCUUUAAAUCGAUUAACCAAGUUAUCUUCAAAAGAAUUGUUCAUCAAGUUCAGCGAGGCUCCAGGAUCACAAAAAGCAAAUUGAUCCUUAGUGCCAUUUUCACGAACCACGCAAUGCAAGUAUCUACAUUGUAAAUGAAAUGAAAUUAUAUAAAAUUACACGAAUAUGAAUUAUAACUAAACAACAGUCAUGAUCUAGAAGACAGUAAUUAAAAAAAGUUUACUCACGCCAUGUAUGCAGCAAUUGCUGCUUGGCCAAUCAUAUUAAACUCCAGCAAGGCGACUAUGUUUUCAUACAAGAUGAAGAUUCUUUUCUCGAUACCAAACACCUCAGCAUCACACGGGAUUUGAAUUGAGUCUCCGGAGGAUUGCAUAAAUGUUGUUGCAUGUUUAUACAACAACCGAAAGCGUUUUGGAACAUUUUUAUUGAUCUCCAUGUUAUGAAACAAGGACUGGACUUUAUCUAAAUCGGUUUUAGGUUCCUUUACUUUCCGUUUACCUUUCUGAAAAAUGAACAAAAUUAAUUUAAAACAAAAUAUAACAAAAUAUAGGGGUAACAUAUAAUAGUACAAUCCAGUACAACAAUUAUGUUAAAGUACACACCAUAGUAGGAAUAGUAGGAGGGGCAUUUGGGAAUAUGAUCAAGUCGCGGGGCCAUGAGACGUACGAGCCAACAGCUUGCUCUACUGUUUCAAUCUCACCUGGUACCGGUUUAGGAAUCUUGGCUUGUCCUUGAAUUGGGCCAUCCACUGAGACGCGAACACAUCCAGGCUCUAUCGGCACUCCAUGUAUAGAUUUGUUCAUGUUAUCAUCAUCAAACAACAAACCAAAUGCCACUUUAUUUUCUAUUGUGCCUACAGCCAACUCACAUUUUCGUGGACCGGCCUACACACAUAUAUUUAAACAAUUAUGACGAAUGCUUGAAAUAUGUUGAGCUAAAUUGAAUAAAUGUGCUAGUUAUUUUACCUUAUUCUCUGGUGGAUUAGGUUCCAAGUCAACUUCAAUCAUCUCUGGUUCCAGUUUUUUCACCACCUCUGUCUUAGCUUCUUUGACAGUGUUUGCCUCACAACUUGCUUUAUCAGAAGCAAUAGGAGAUGAAAUAUUUGCUUUGCUGAGCAAGGCCUUCAUUUCAGCCAUCUCCUGCCUUGUCUUCUCCAUUUCCAUGGCCAUCUCUUUCUUGGCUUUCUCCAGCUCCGCGUCCCUCUCUCGAUCCCUCUCCAACAACUCAGCUUUGGUGAUUCUAUUUCUUCUUCCUGGUGGUAUAUUAAAAAAAAUUGACGGGCUCACAAAGCCUCCAACUCCUCGAACCCUCCCCGAAUGUUCAGGAGUUUGUAGGGCCGUAGUCAACACAUCUCGACUCCCAGAAGGAGUGAAUUCCCCCUUACUUUGCUGCUCUAGUAAAAUAUUCUGACAUGAAAAAUAUGAACAUACAAAUCAUCAUCUAGUGAACCUCAUCAUCAAUAUUAACUUUAAUUUUACGAGCCUUUUAAUUAUAAAUACUCACAAUUCUUUUUCCUAUUUCAGCUAGGUCUGAAUCCUCAUCAUCAGCAUCAUCAGCCUCAUCAUCAUCAUCAACAUUAUCAUUAUCAUCAUCAAUUUUAAUUUUACGAGCCUUUUGCCACAUGAGAGCCCGAUCAGGUUCUUCAUCGGCAGCCAAAGUUCCUUUCUUGAUCUGAUUAAAAUCAAAAAAAAAUUAAAAAGGCCAAGAUAUGUAAAAUACAAUUAUUUAGGUUCAAUGCUUAAAAUACAACUAUUUUUAUACCUCUUCUUCCAAUAAUCCAAUGUAACCCUUUCUUGAUGUCCGGUGAGGAUAUUUUCGAUUACUCACCCUCAGCUUUUGUUUUUCACUAAAAGACUUCAAAUAUUUUAAAUAAUAUUAGAAUACUAUUUUUCAGAAUAUAAAAAGACAUUUAUAUCACAAUAAAGCAGAACAUAAAAUAUAUUUCAUACCAGAAAUUUCGAGGUAGUCCUCUCAGCAACAAAAUUUUUCCAAGCCUCCUUUCCAACAAAAGCAUACUUCUUUGGAGGCUUUCGUAAUUUCUUCUUCUGCCCAAGAUACGGCCUCACAUAAUCUCUUGUUAAAUUUGCUUUAAAAUUCCUCCACUUUGCUCCUGCAGACCUGAUCAACCCCUUCUCAAGUUGCUUAGGAACUUUAAAUGUCUCCUGCAACCAAUGUUAAUUGACAAAAUUUACAAAAUUAUACUCUAAAUGAGUAGAAGAAAAUGCAAAAUUUACAAAAUGCAUAGGAGAUUACUUAUUUUUAUACCUUCACAUCAAUCCAUAUUUUCUCCUUUAGUUCAUCAGGUACCUUUGACCAGUUAGGAUAAUCAAUCGGAAUCAUUGUCCUAGCCAACAUUCCAGUGUAGGAUUGUAGACUGUGCCUUGCAUCCCCUGUAGGAACUCCAUGUGCAUUACAUGAAACCUUUGUUUUCUUGCCCUGCGCCUUCCUCACCACCACUUUAUACAUAGCAGAAACCCCUCGGGCACCCCCACGCUUUUUCUUUGCUGUUUCAGAUGUUGUAACUGUUGCAUCCGUUUCCUCCACAGAAUUCACAUUUUCUCCCUGAGGUUCUGUUGUCAGCUCCAACCUUUUAUCUGAUGCCUCAUCCGACUUUUUGGAGUCUUCAUGGAAUUGUACUUUGGUUUUUUGCUUUUUAUUUGCCAUUUAUCUUCUUCAAUCUGAAAAUGAAACAUAUAUAAUCCAUUAGUCACAGGCAUAUAUACGAGCAAUUACAGGAUAAGCAGUUAUAAAGUUACAUAAGCCUACAUAAGCCGUUACAAAAUUGUAAAAAUGCAUAACUAAACAUUUACACAGAGUGAAAAUUACAGGAGUCUAAUUACACAGAGUAAAUUACAAAGUUGCAUCACAUAUAUUACAUGACUUGAAAUAAUGUUAUCACAGAGUAAAUUACAAAGUCUCAUCACAAAAUUAACUAUUACAUGACUUGAAAUAAUGUUAUCACUUCUUAACCCAAGUGCCCUUAAUAUUUUCUCUAAUACUUUUCUCAACAUCAUCACCGACAUCACAUGUAGGAAUUUGGCAGCAGAAUGGAGGAUUUUCCAUGGUUGUGUCUCCUAAAUCAUCAUCGUUAUACACCUCUUGGUAGUCUCGAGUUGUAGAGGUUAAUACGACGGACCACUUGGCAUCCACCGGAUCUUCAAUAUAAUAAACUUGCUUUACUUGAUCUAUAGACACGUAUUUAUCUCUCUUGUGGCCUUGUCGACUUAGAUCGACAAGUGUGAACCCAAGAUCAUCCACCUUAAUUCCCUUGUCAUUGUCCGCCCAAUUACAUAAAAACAGUGGGGCUUUGAAUGCAUGAUAAUCCAGCUCCCAUAUAUCUAGGAUAACACCAUAAAAUGUCAAGUCACUUUCUACGGGGUUUAAAUCUUUAGCGCUAGACACUUGGACAGUUUUAGCAACUAAAGACACUCCGCUGUUUUGAACUACCCUCACAUUGUCUCGCUGUUUUGUAAAGUAUCGGACCCCGUCUACUAGAUAAGCUUCGUAAGUCAUAACUGAAAAUGAUGGUUUUCCAGCUAUCCAUCUUACUGUCUCUGAAACUCCUCCAGGAUUCUCCACCAUUUCACUACUGACCUACACAUUUCAUAAACAGAAAUUAUCCUAAAUUACUAUAGAGAAAAUAAAUUAGGCACAAAUGAAACUAUAAAAAUACUAACUUUUUCUAGAAACCAAUCAGCAAAACUGUUAUUGUGCUCUCUCAAGAGCCAAUGAACGCUUUUCUUUUUCCCACGAUGGAUUUCCUCUAGAUACUCCUUAUGCAUUCUGCCAAAAAUUAUAUAUUCAUUAAAGAAGUAGUUUAUACAGAAUGUAUAUAUUAAUUGAACAGCCACAAAAUUAAAAAAAUCUUACAAGAUAUAUGGCUGUACUUCAAGGUUGUUUAGAAGAACGUGUAAAUGAGCUUCAUCCCUCUCUUUUUCUUCGAUUGAUUUCAUUACCGCAACAGAUAAUGGACCACUUAACUUGCCUUCAUCUUUGCGAAGACCAGCAGUGGUGCAAGUUUGCUUGACAAACUCUUGGCAGAAUUCAAUCGAUUCUUCUCCAAGAUAACAUUCUGCUAUACAACCUUCGGGGUAGUAACGAUUGCGUACGUAACUCUUCAACACCUUAUUAAACCUCUCAAAUGCAUACAUCCAUCUAUAGAAGACUGGCCCACAUAACCGUAAUUCCCGAACCAAGUGCACUAUGAGAUGUAUCAUUACAUCAAAAAAUGAUGCAGGAAAAAUUUUUUCUAGCUCGCACAAAGUUACUAUUACAUCUGAUUGCAAUUUAUCUAGUUUAGAUACGUCGACAACUUUGCUGCAUAAAGCAUUAAAGAAGAAACACAAUCUAAUUAUUGUGACCCUGACUUUUUUUGGAAGUACCGCGCGAAUUGCAAUAGGAAGUAAUUGUUGAAGUAGGAUGUGGCAAUCGUGGGACUUCAACCCAAACAUUUUUAAUUCUUCCAUGGAAACACAGUUUUUAAUGUUUGACGCGUGUCCAUAAGGAAGUUUCAUGUGCAUUAACGAUGACAACAUCUUCUUCUUUUCUGCCUUGGACAAAUUAAAAAUCGAAGGAGGUAAAUAGGUCUUUCUUUCUCCUUUUUGUGGAGCUAGAUCAGCCCUAACCCCCAUGUCAAUCAUGUCAAGACGAGAAGCUUCACUAUCUUUAGACUUAUGUUUCAUAUUCAGUAGUGUGCCAAUCAAGCUAUCACACACGUUUUUCUCCACGUGCAUAACAUCUAGACAAUGACGGACAUGGUGAAAUUUCCAAUACUCUAACUCGAAGAAAAUUGACUUUUUCUUCCAUGGACAGUCAACCUUCUUUGACUUCCUUACUUCUUUCCCAAACUGAAAUUCAAUUUUUUCUUGCUGCAAUAAAACCUCUUCUCCCGAAAGAGGUUGACGUGCCUGCCCUAAUUCUUGUUGUCCAUUAAAAGCAGCUUUUUGCUUCCUAUAUGGAUGAUUUCUAGCCAAGUAACGUCGAUGACCUUGGUAACACAUCUUCCUACUAUGGCUUAAAUACUUUGCAACAGUAUCAUCACCACAUAUUGGACAAGACAUAUAACCUUUAUUAACACAUCCGGACAGAUUUCCAUAUGCGGGAAAGUCGUUUAUUGUCCACAAUAAAAUUGCUUUUAAAGUGAAAUACGACUUAGUGUGUGCAUCAUAGACAUUUGGUUCACCUUCCUCCCACAACUUCUUUAAAUCAUCGAUUAGAGGCUGUAAAUAUACAUCAAGGUCAUUACCAGGCUCAUGAGGACCGGGAACUAAAACUGUUAGCAUCAUAAACUUCCUCUUCAUGCAUAACCACGGAGGAAGAUUAUAAGUCACUAGUACUACUGGCCAACAAGUGUAUCUAUUGGUUAGACCGUUAUUAUGCGGGUUUAUACCAUCUGCAGACAACGCCAAGCGAAUAUUUCUUGCCUCACUACCGAAGGCAGGCCACCUAUAGUCGAUAUUUCUCCAAGAAGGAGAGUCGGCUGGAUGCCGCAUCUUUCCAUCUUCUAUUCGCUGCUUUGCGUGCCAGGUAAUCAGUUCAGAUGUAGAAGGAGAUUUAAACAUUCGCUUCAAUCUCGGAAUAAUUGGAAAAUACCACAUUAUUUUAGCAGGAACAUUAAUCCUUACUUUACCAUCCUUUCCUAACUUCCAGCGAGAUAGACUACACUUAGGACACUUAGAAGCAUCAACAUAUACCCCCCGAUAUAGUAUGCAAUCGUUUGGACAUGAGUGGUACUUUAUGUAUUCUAGGCCUAAGUUGGAUAAUGUUUUCUUGGCUUCAUAUGCAUUAGGUGGCAUCACAUUUUCCUUAGGAAGGAGAGAGCCAACAGUAGACAAUAAAUCUGUAAAGGCGCUAUCACUAAUUCCAAACCUUGCUUUCCAAUUAUGCAGUUUUAGCAUCGACUCCAAUUUGGUACAUUCACUACCCUCAUACAAAGGCUGUUGAGCAUCAGCCACAAAUCUCCUAAACUGAUACGACUCAUUAUUGUACUCACUCGAAUUAUACGCAGCAUCACAAACAUUGACUGUUUGUGAUGCAUGACCAGGGGAAUGCAUCGAUGCAGGGUCAAGCGUAGGUGCAGGGCUAGGGGCAUUGUCAUGAACUGUUGAUCCAGUGAUUCCACACCCUUGUGUGUGCCAAAUCCAAUCAAGGUAUCCCAAACUAAAACCGUAUUCAUAUAAAUGUCCCCUAAUAAUCUUAACUGCAAAUUUUUUAAAGUUAACACAUCUUUUGCAGGGGCAUGGGAUUUUUUUAGUAUCACUAGCAUUUUCCUCGGCAAAUAUUAAAAACUCUUCAACCCCGAUUUCAUAGUCAAGUGUAUCCCUAUCUUUGAAAAUCCAAGACUUGUCCAUGUUAUUCUCAAACUACCUGAUUGUCAAAUAUGAUAUCAAAUUACAUGGUAACAAAGAUCCAAACACAAUAUACAAUUACAUUUACAAACUAAACAAACACAAAUAUAUUUACACAGCUGUGCAUAAAACAUAAAAAACAAAUCCCAAGCUCUAAACAUAUAUAACACAGUACAUAAAAAAGAAACCCCAAGCUCCAAACAUAUAUAAAACAUAUAUACAACUACACGUUUAAUUUUCACAUGCAUACAUAUAACUACAAAAAGUUAUACUUGCAACCGAAACAUUUAUAUAAAUAUAAAGAAGAAUAUAGAAGAAUAUAUAUACCUAAAACCCAGCAGCUUCGAAACCCAGCACCUCCAAAAUCCAGCAGCUAUCCAGCAGCUUCGAAAACCCAGCAACUACCCUAAUCUCCAAGCUUCAAAUCUCCAAGCUUCAAAGAACCCUAAUCUCCAAGCUCCACUCGACCCUAAGCUUGAAGAUCGAACCUUAAGCUUGAACACAGCAGCUUCGAAUCGCGCACAAAUCGCACCUAGGGUUUAGAAGAGAGGGAAUCAGUUAAUAGAACAUUUGAAAGGGGGUUUAGAAGAGAGGGAAUCAGUUAUUAAACCAAGAACGAGGAUUGAAGGACUGAAGGAUUGAAGAAAAUCGCAUACCUAGGUUUAGCUGUCGAGAGAAAGGGGGAAGAGCUGCUGUCUGAAAGAAAUAUGUAUAUAUGUCCCGAUUGUUUUCUUUUGAAUGCUUUUGUUUUAAUUUUGAUUUAUUUUUAAUGUUUUUUUAUUGUUUUAUACUGAGGCGGGAGUGAAUGAUAUGUUAAAGGGGGGGAAAACAGUAGGGGGAACUAAUUAAAAAAUUGACUAAGGGCGGGGGAGCGGAGGGCGCGGGCUUUAAUAUUUUUAAAAUUGAGAUUAGACAUCGCUUAAUAAACAAUGUGAUGUGAAAAAAUUUUAAAGUGAGAGCUUAGACAUCACUUAUGUUAAGGACUGAUGUAAAGAUACCAGAAAGACAUCACAUAUAAAACGAGCGAUGUAAAAAAGGCAUUUUACAUCGGUGACACUUCCGACUGAUGUCUAAUGUGCGAUGUCUAUUGACGAAUUUCUAGUAGUCUCCAAAGGAUAUUUAUCUUUCCAUCAUGAUGCAGCAGUCUCCUUAACUGUGAAGGGAACGGAGUAUGAGGUAGCAAAGAACCUUCAUAUUUACACAGCCAUUGAUCUGUCGGGCACCUAAUUUCAGGGUCGAAUUCCAAACGUCACUGGAGAGCUUAGAUGGCUUGCAUUGCUCAAUUUAUCGCAUAAUAGUUUAACAGGACCUAUCCCAUCAUUGCUGAGAAAUAUGAAAGAACUCCAAUCUUUAGAUUUGUCCUCAAAUCGACUGACAGGGGCUAUUCCACCUCAGCUAACUGCAUUGACAUUUCUAGAGGUCUUGAACCUCUCGAAAAACCAUCUUAGUGGAGAGAUUCCUCAGAAAGGACAGUUCAGCACAUUCAACAAUGAUUCUUAUCUAGGAAACUCCGCGUUAUGUGGAUCACCUUUGACGAAGAAAUGUGCAAACACAGCAUCACCUCCACAAGAAGUCGGAAAUGGUGAUGAAGAUGAUGCUGGAGAUGAAUUGACAUGGGAAGCAAUCGUGAUGGGAUAUGGAUGUGGACUGAUAUGUGGAUUGUCAUCUGCGUACAUUGUUCUCAAACUAGGAAAGCCUUGGUGGUUUGUGAGAUAUAUCGAAGUACUGCAACUGAAGUUGAUGAAAAGAUAUGCAUGAAGAAUGGUACUGCACUACAACAAAAACAGCAUCACACAACGGUUUUUGCCCGUUGUCUGAUACCCAAGAAAACCGUGGUCUAUUGCGAUGCCGUCUGAUACGCGCCUCAGACAACGUUUUAUUAGUUAAAGGCUUGUCUAUAAGGCCAUGCUACGAUGGUAACAAAAACACUUGUAUGUUAGCUUCCUGGUCACACAACACUGUAUGGAACCCUUGUUUAAACGGCUCGUAAACAACACAACAAAUAAAACACUUGUCUAAUUACAACAACGGUUUCUUGAAAUAUUGUCUGAAGUUUCUUCACACAUCGGCUCUAAAAACAGUUGUCUAACGUGCAUCAUUACACAAUAUCACAGUUAAGAUACCGUUGUCUGAUUGAAUUUACUAGACAACACUUUUUAAACCGUUGUAGGUUGUAGGUGUUGGACAAUAGUUUUUCGAGGACGAAAAUAAAGUGUUGUGUCUUUGUUUCGGCCAACACUUUUUCCAGCGUCCGUUGUCUGACUAGUGUCGUGUGAUGCCAGUUUUGUUGUAGUGCUGGUUGAUCCAGACGAACUAGAAAGUUGUUGUCCUGGUAGACAUUUCUGAACCAUUUGUGUCCUGGCUGAAUAAGUAUUUGGUAUUAUGUAAUAAUCCGUUUGGUUGGGACUCAAAAUGAUUUCUCUUGCUUCAGGGGUAUUAAUAUUAACCUUCCUAUCUUGAUCAAUGUUAAAUCAAAUUAAAUGAAUGAAAAAACAAAAAGUAUGCAUCAAAUCCGCUCCUGCUGUACCUAACAAUUUAACAGCACCCUUCCACACUGUUCAUACCUAAUUUGCGUGUAAUAUGAAAACUAAGAGGCAUGGCUUUUGUCUUUGAGAGAACUUAUUCCAAGUCUUCUUCGGAGGCCUACUGCCUCAACAACCUUUCAAAGACUAUGCAAUAAUCCACGUGACAGAAAAACCAAAGUCCAAUUAGUAUUAUAAGUUCAUAAAAAAUACUAUAGGAUCAUUAGCAUUAGCAUUACAUUAGCAUACAGCAUAUAUAUAAAUAGAAGAAUGCAGUGUGGUAUUGGAUUCAUAAUCCAAUUGAGCAGAAACAUGGCACACUUUGUAAAGCCUUAUGACCUUCUUCUCUGUGUUUUCUUUCUCUCAUCACUUGAAUCCAUUCUUGCAACAAGACGAGAAGGAGAAGCUCUUGUGAAAUGGAAGAACAGCCUAGCCCCGUCUUCUUCUCUUGAUUCUUGGUCACUCACUCAUCUCGAUAAUCUUUGUAACUGGACUGGCAUUACUUGUAACUCUGCAGGUUCAGUCUCUGACAUUAACCUUUUCAACAAACAACUCACUGGAAAGCUUUUCGAGUUUGGUUUCACUUCAUUUCCGAAUCUCAACAAUCUCACCCUCGCAGAUAACUUCUUCUCUGGUCCAAUACCAUCAGCCAUUGGGAAUUUAACACAGCUUCAAUAUCUUGAUUUGAGCAAUAAUUAUCUCAAUGGUUCCAUUCCGUACCAGGUUAGCCAUCUUUCAAAAUUACACGUCUUAAACCUGUCAGAGAAUGAACUGCAAGCUCCAAAUUGGUCCAAUUUCUCCCCCAUGCCUUAUUUGACCAUCCUCGACCUUUAUCAGAAUAAUCUUAUGUUGGAAUUUCCAGAAUUUAUAUCUAACUCGCGUAACCUGACAUACCUUGACCUUUCAUAUAACAAGUUCACAGGCGAUCUUGUGCGCGAAUCAGUAUUAGCCAAUCCAGGUGAUCUCGAAACCCUCUAUCUUAAUGAAAAUUCUUUUGGGGGGCCAUUUCCACCAGACAUAUUCAAACUUUCCAAGUUGAGAGUUCUUGCCCUGUUCAAUAAUCUUUUUGAGGGGCCGCUUCCGUCAAAUAUAUUCAAGCUCUCUAAACUAAGAUUCCUUUUACUUUGGAGUAAUAAUUUUUCAGGUACUCUUUCGAAUGAAAUAGGUUUGCUUUCUGAGCUUGAAGACCUAGAUCUUCACUCCAAUUUUUUUGUGGGGCCGCUUCCGCCAAAUAUAUUCAAGCUCUCUAAACUAAGAACCCUUUUCCUCUUGGGUAAUAACUUCUCAGGUUCUAUUUCCAACGACAUAGGUUUGCUUUCUGAGCUUGAACACCUAUAUCUCGACUCCAAUUCUUUUGAGGGACCUUUUCCAACAAAUAUUUUCAAGCUUUCCAAAUUAAUACAACUUGGUCUCGCAAACAAUACAAAUUUAUUUGAAGGAAGUAUUCCUCCAGGACUGGGGCUCUUGACUAACCUAGAGGACUUGUCUCUUGCUUACAAUAAUCUUGGUGGCUAUAUUCCGUCUUCCUUUGGAAACCUAACACUACUAGUAUAUCUUAAUCUCGCUCGUAAUCAAUUGGUUGGAACACUAUCAAAGACCAUUUCUAAUCUCACAAAUCUAUGGUUUCUUGAUGUACAUCAUAAUAGUCUCUCUGGGAAUAUUCAGAGUGACUUCUGGAAAAACUCUACAUCACUGCGUUACAUUAAUUUGGCAGACAAUAAUUUUUCUGGGAACAUUCCUAAGGAAUAUAAUGUUCUUCCAAUCCUGGAUCACAUCAAUUUUAGGGGGAACAAUUUUACAGGUAUUUUUCUUUCCAUAUUUUUUCCUUCUGUUGUAUUCAAUUAUGCUAGAAACUACAGCCUCUGUUUUUUCAAAUACAUAUCGUUUAACUUUUUGGCACAAAACUUUAUAAUAAUUCUAACUAAAAGGUCAAUGAACUCAAAAAUGUGUGUCAAAAAGUCAAACGUCAUUUAUCUGAAAUCAGAGGGAGUAUAUAUUACUGUUUUACCAAAGUUUCAACAAUCAUGACAGGUGAGCUUCCACCAACAAUUUGCGAUGCCACUUCCCUUUCGAUUCUUGAUCUGUCAAAUAAUGGAUUUAGUGGUGCAGUUCCACAUUGUUUGGGGAAUCUUGCGGAUAAAUUGAUUUCGAUUAAUCUUGCUAAUAAUCAGUUUCAAGGACCAAUACCAACAAAUUUCUCCGAGAGUUGUCGUCUGACGUAUCUUAACAUCUAUAACAAUCACUUCAAAGGUUUGGUUCCCCAAUCUUUGGCAAACUGUAAGCACUUGCAAAUUCUUGAUUUUGGAAAAAAUGAAAUAGGUGGAACACUUCCGUCAUGGUUUUUUACUCUUGGAGAGCUAGAAGUCCUGAUCCUGCGAUCAAACAGAUUUUUCGGGAGAAUAACUAGAAGGAGCAUACCACGCCCCUUUCCCAAGUUGCGGAUUUUGGAUCUAUCCAACAAUCAGUUCACCGGCUAUCUGCCAAUUUUAUACUUCAAGAAUAUGAAACCAAAUGAUAAUAAUUAUGAUUAUUUCAACAACACAAACGAAGCCUAUUACGUUUAUCAAGUUUCUAUCACAUUAAAUGUGAAAGGAAGCGAGCAUGAAGUGACAAAUAUUCUUCAUAUUUACACGGCCAUUGAUCUGUCGUGCAACAAAUUUGAAGGAAAAGUUCCAGACAUUACCGGAGAGCUUAGAUGGCUUGCAUUGCUAAAUUUAUCUCAUAAUAGUCUUUCGGGGCCUAUUCCAUCACAACUGGGAAAAAUGAAAGAGCUCCAGUCUCUAGAUUUGUCGUCAAAUCAAUUGACAGGUGUUAUUCCGGAUCAACUUACUAGUAUGACAUUUCUUGCUAGUUUGAACCUCUCAGAAAACCAUCUUUCUGGGAAAAUCCCUCGGAAAGGACAGUUCAGCACUUUUGGCGAAGAAUCUUACUUAGGUAAAUCGGCCUUGUGUGGAGUUCCUUUGACAAAGAACUGUAUAGACGAUGUGCCACCUUCACAAGUUGGAAAUGGCAAUGAUGAAAAUGUUGAUGAAGAUGAUACCGUUGAUGAAUUCAAUUGGAAAGUGAUCCUGAUGGGAUAUGCAUGUGGAUUAAUAGGCGGAUUGUCUGCAGGAUACAUUGUCUUCACAGUCGGAAAGCCUUGGUGGUUUUUGAGAUACAUUGAGACACUGCAGCAGAAGUUGAUCUGAUGCGCAACUAGAAACAACGUUAUAAUCUUAGAAUGACUUGUGUCUUUAAACAGAGUUAGGAACUUAGGAUGACUUGUGGUGCUAUAUUUUUUUUUUGAAAAAAAAAAACAUAUUUUUGUAAUUUUUUAGAUACAGAUGUUAAGAAGGUGUUGUAUAUUCAUUUUUUACCCAAAAAAAAAAAGAGGGCUUAUUUCAUGAAAAUUAGAGUUUUAUGUAUUUUCUCCAGAAAUUAGUCCUUAUUUCUGAAAAUAAGGUUAGUCAAAACGGUCACUACACGAUUGGUAGCCUUUCAGUUCUUCCUAGUGUCCACUACAGUUUCAUUCCUUACCAGUUAUUUUAUGCUCUGCACUGCAUUAUGCAGCUUUCAUAUUACUGACAGCUAAUCUCCUUCCAACACUUUGCGAUGCGAAGCAGGGACGCAUAAGUAUUUUUAUAUGUGUAUUAGUUUUGAAGAUUAAAGUUGCAUGGACAAUUGUGUUGAUAAUUUGAGCAAUGUUAACCGGGAUAGGUCUUCUUCUCUCUCCCAAGUCUUCUGAGGACUCAUCGGCUCAGAUUAGUCUAUCCAAAAAUUAUGAUCUGACGGCUAUUGGCACACUAACGAUUUACAUAUCACUUGAAUAUUACUGGAUACCCGCAUCUUGUUUUAAAUGGCGUAUAUCGGCUAAUAGUUCAACGAUGGUGACAAAUCCCGGUGAUCCAAAUAAUUGAUUGUCGCAAAAUUUUCCGCUUACAUCCAACUAACACGUAUUAGGAAAAAAAAUUAUAUAAUUAAACACGCUCAUGUAUCUAUAUCUUUUACAAGAUUGUAAGUCCCCAAUUCUAUGUGAUAUUAGCUAUAUGUGACUAGAAGGUUUAGAAAUACUAGAUUAUCAAGAUUUCUUUUUAUUCUAGCUAGUGUUGAGUUAUAUUUAUUUUCUUCAAACAAUCAAUACUUAUUUUUUAUUAAUAUGUGAAACUCCAAUAUAUAUUAUUAUACGAUAUAUUAUGAAAACACUAUAUUUUGUAAUGUUCAUCUUAUCCUACCAGCAAAAUUACAUCGCUAACAAAAUUAUAUCAAUUUUAUUUUAUAAACUCAAAUAAUUUAAUUUAUGAAACAACUCUAUGAGAUUCUUAUCAUGAGUUAGAAUUCAAAUAAAUAAAGAGUUCAUAUUGAUAAGUGGAAUUGAUGUGCAAGUAAGGGGUAUAAAAAAAUCUCAAAAUAACUCCAAAAAGCACAUGACAUGUUUGAUUUAAUAGAACUGGUACAUAAACAGGGGGACCAUUAUAUUUAUAAGCAAGUGACCAACAAUAGUUUACUACUGAUAUUUUGUGAUAUUUUUUGUGAUAUUUUUUGAGACCUUUAACAUUAUUCUGUGAAGUGGUAUACUACUGUUACUAGUUCUGAAACUUCAAACAAAGUAGGCGCAACAUUGUAAGAGUGAUUAAUAAAGUUGAGAAACAGUGUGUACAUUGAGCAGUAUGACAAUCAGGUUCAGCAUAUAAUACAAUCAGAUUCACAAUCAGGUUCACGAGAAACAUGCUGCAUUCCAAAAAGCCUUAUUAUCUUCUUCACUAAAUAACAAGGCAAAUACAGCAUAUAAAUACAAGUUAUAAGUACAAGUGUGGUAUUAGAUUCAUAACCCAGUUGAGGAGAAACAUGGCACACUUUGUAAGGCCUUCUCACCUUCUUCUCUUUGUUUUCUUUCUCUCAUCACUAGAAUCCAUUCUUGCAACAAGACGAGAGGGGGAAGCUCUUGUGAAGUGGAAGAAUAGCCUAGCCCCUUCUUCUUUUCUCCACUCUUGGUCACUCUCCAAUCUCGAAAAUCUUUGCAACUGGACUGGCAUUACUUGUAACUCUGCAGGUUCAGUCUCUGAGAUUGACCUUUGUGAGAAACAACUUGAUGGAAUGCUGUCCGAGUUUGGUCUCACUUCAUUUCCAAAUCUCAACAAUCUCACCCUCGCAGACAACUUCUUCUCAGGUCCAAUACCACCAGCCAUUGAGAAUUUAACACAGCUUCAAUAUCUUGAUUUAAGCAUGAAAAGUCUUAAUGGUCCCAUUCCGUUCCAGGUUAGCCAUCGUCAGAGCUUGCUCAUCUUAGACCUGUCACAGAAUGCAUUGCAAGCUUCAAAUUGGUCCAAUUUCUCUCCCAUGCCUCAGUUGCGCUUCCUCAAGCUCAGUAGCAAUCAUCUUGUGUCGAAAUUCCCAAAUUUUAUAUCCAGUUCUCAUAGCCUGACUUACCUCAACCUCUCAUAUAACAUUGGAAACCUCAAAAAAUAUAUAUUUAUAUAUUUAUAAUUAAAAAAUUGAAUUACUUAAUAUAUUAAAAAAUUGAAUAAAAUUUUAUAUAUUUUAUUAAAAAAUUGAAUAAAAAUUGAAUAAAAUUGAAUAAAAUUGAAGUACACGAAAAGGUACACGACACGAAAUACACGACUGAGAAGUCGUGUCGGUUUUGUGUUUACCCUUCGGGUACACGACACGAGGUACACGAAAUAAAUAAAUAAAUAUAUAUAUAUAUAUUUACCCUUCGGAUUAAGAGUUGGUCGC